CAAAGGGUGAUCUUACUGGGCUCUGCUUUGCUUUAAGCAGUUUGCAUUGUAACACAAUCUUUCUGAGUGGCCUUCUGCCAGCAGUGAAGUGGUUAAAAGCUUGUCUUGGAGCAGGGUGGGACUACACUGCCACUGCAGCCACGUCAGCUUUCACCCCUCUGUGUCCUAAUAAAGUUAUACCGCAUUGAAUAUCUCCAGCACGGUCGCUCAGGCUCUCGGGAGUUGUAGUCUUCCUUCCCUCUGUAUAGUGGUUCUUCUAAUGGGCUGCUUGCUGGGACCCAGCUAAGCUGAAGGUAAGAUCCAGCAUUGGAGUGAGGUUGUGGCUGGCAGUGUGCAGCUGCUGGAGCUGUGUGUGUUUUACCCAAUGUAUUCCUGUGCCUGUGUGUGGAUGGCUGUGCUCUGGAGCCCUGUGCUGAGCUCUAAGUUCAGGGAAUUGUGCUUCUGUCGGGUUGUGCAUUUAGGAUUUCCUGGCUGGCUGGCUGGGCAUGGAGCUCACACACUUUUUGCUGUGUGUGCAGUCACUGAUCCUCUCCUUAUAAUGAGGGUCAGCACAUUCAGACAGACAUGCUGUAGAUCUGCUCUGUGAGCUGGCUGAAUGGCUGGCUGCAGCUCGCAGAGUUUAGGGAAACUUAUAUGGGAGCCACCACACUCACUGCUUCUACUCUAGUGCCCCCCUCCACUCACUGCUUCUACUCCAGUGCCCCCCUCUUCACUCACUGCUUCUACUCCAGUGCCCCCCUCUUCACUCACUGCUUCUACUCCAGUGCCCCCCUCUUCACUCNNNNNNNNNNNNNNNNNNNNNNNNNNNNNNNNNNNNNNNNNNNNNNNNNNNNNNNNNNNNNNNNNNNNNNNNNNNNNNNNNNNNNNNNNNNNNNNNNNNNCCCCAAAGUGAAUUUCAAGGCACAAACUGCAGAAUUGCUACCUUUCAAAUCAAUGGUAACAUAGUAACUGUAAUACUUUGAUGUUAGAGAUACAAAAAGUGUGUGUGUGUGUGUGUGUAUAUGUAUAUGUGUGUAAAAACAGAUGGAAAAAAUGAUCUGCGAAACAAAUGGAAAAAAUGAUCUGUGCUGGUUAGUAUAGCAGGCAGCCCCUCCUAUCAUAUAGCAAUGUGCUAUGCUUGGUCACAUUGCUUCCAUUUUAAAGUCCAGUGCCCUGCUUAAAAGGACACUAUAGGCACCCAGACCACUUCACCUCACUGAAGAGGUCUGGGUGCAAUGCUCCUUUCCCCCUUAGGCAUUGCAGUUUUAAAGAAGCUGCAAUGUUUACUUUGCAGUACCAAGACUGUUUGUUUACCAGACAGCUGCUAGAGGCGAUUCCUAGAUUUUCAUAGUCACGCACUGCAUGAGGACAUCCAUCGUCCGGGAAAACCCAGUAAGAAAGCAUUGAGGCAAUGUUUUCCUAUGGGUGGGGCCUAAAUCCGCACAUUAGGUGUGCUCCCCCCCCCCGAUCGGCUGAAGUUGGAAUCGGGUAAAUUUAAUAAAGGAUUAUUUAACUCUUUACAUCGCUGGGGAGGGGAAGGAGGCAGAGGAACACGUUCGUGUUGGGGAUACAUCGUUGUCCCUAACACUACAGUGGUUCUUUUAAAGUUAAAGUGUUGCCAAAAAUGCAGGCAGAGAGUACUGUUUGUGAGAAAGAUCUAUAAUUGUUAGUGUCUUUAAGUUUGGUGUCAGAGAGUAAAACAUGGGUGCAGUGCUGGAUUAGGGGUUUCUUGGGCCUGACUACAAACUUUGAAUGUAAGAUUGUCGCAUCUUGUUCAUAGAAGAUCAUCAGCCUGACUGCACUGUUUUUAUAAAUUGGUCAUUUUAAAGGAUCACUAACUCGUUUUCCUGAUACUAUAUAAUCCUUGGCUCUGAAGGGGUUAAAACCCCUUCAGCCACUUACCUUAAUCCAGUGCUGGGCUCCCUCGGCGCUGGUGACCUCUCCUCCCCGCCGACGUCUGUUCCCGAAUGGAGCCGAAUGCUCAUGCGCAGCAAGAGGCACGUGGGCAUUCAAACAGUCCAUAGGAAAGCAUUUCUCUAUGCUUUCCUAUGGACGUUCUGCACGCUAGAUGUGAUUUUCGCAAUAUUGGUAUCUGCUUAUAGGGAUACCGAUAAUACAGACCAGGACCACUGGACCCAUGACAAGCCGGCUGUCCUGGGGGGCCCGCAGCAGGCUCUUACUUACCUUCCCAGCUGCUCACUUCAGCUCCCCCUGUGUAAAUCUCGCGAGACCCGCGGCCAUCAGAGCGUUGCCACGGGUUACCAUGGCAACGUUCCGCGCGGCACACAGGCCGCGAGAUUUAGACAGGGGAGCUGAAGGGAGCUGCUGGGAAGAUAAGUAAGAACUUGCUGGGGGUGCCCACUGCGCAGUCCAUGCCACAGGACCACCAGGGAAUGUCAUAUCCCCCCCCCUCCCUGGCCAAGUAAGAAGCAGGUGGGGUUAAAAUAUAUAUAUAUAUAUAUAUAUAUAUAUAUAUAUAUAUAUAUAUAUAUAUAUAUAUAUAUAUAUAUAUAUAUAUAUAUAUAUAUAUAUACACACAAAGGUUAACCUGCACAGAGGUAUAAAUGGUCAGAAAUACAGAAUAUAUCCCCUACACAGAUAUCAUAUUUGUGAUAAACUUUAGAGUUUGUAACUGCACUUUUUUUGCACCCCCCCAUUUUACACACAUUACAUACCUACACAAACACACACAAUCUGCAUUAUAUAAACACACUAUACAAACACUCUGCAUUCAAUAUACACACACUCUGCAUUCACUAUACACCCUACACAAACACAUACACUCUGCAUUCAUUAUACACAGUCACACAUUACACAAACACACUGCAUUCACUAUACACACACACACUCUGCAUUCAUUAUAUACACACUACGCACACACACUGUAUUCAGGAUACACACACACUGCCCUCACUAUACACACACUACACAAACACACAUACUUUGCAUUCAUUAUAUACCCACACACACUCUGCAUUCAAAAUAUAUACACGCACACAACCACUCACUGCAUUCACUAUACACACACACACUGCAUCCACUACACAAACAUACACUGCAUUCCCUAAUCAAAUACUCUCACUGCAUCCACUACACACACACACACACACACACACACACACACACACACACACACACACACACACAUUCUUGAAAACAUAAAUUCUGAAUGGCAUGUUUAUUUUGUGCAUUUACCUUAAUAAAAAAAAGAAAAAGAAAAAGAUUUGCAAAAAAAUAAACAAACAUGUUCGGUUAACAGUAGAUUUGUGUAGAAAUAGUUUUAAUUUAUUUAUUUUUUGAAAUGGUAAGUGUAUAGAAUAUCUGUAAACUAUCGGUCUGAAAGUUCACAGAUUAUCGGUAUCGGCUCUAAAAAAAUCAAUAUCGGUCGAUCCCUAAUGUCAGAUAUAGAUUUUGUAUAUACAGUCCCAAAGCUAACUUUGGCAUUUCAUGUCUUUUAGAUGGUGUUGUAAAUGUAACACAGCCAGGCCACAUGAAUUACGUAGGCUGGAUCUCUAACACUGUUAUCAAAUAGAGCCCAUUUAGGACCCCUAAAUCAUAAAUGUAACAAGUAUACAUGUGUACACCUAAAAUUGAAAAACAUGAGAAGCUUUCUCCUUAAUUAAUUUAGAUAUCCAGUUAUACACUUCUACAAGCAGGGAAGAGAUCUCUCUCCCUCCCCUACGAAUACUUCCCCCAACCGCACUCUCUCUGCUGUUCUAUGCUCAUUCGCACCCACAGCAGCGGAAGAUGUCUGUUCUGCUCCUGUCCUCAUGCCACAUCACAUUACCUUGAUCCUAUUUCCUCAUAUCUCAUCCGCACUCUGUCCCCUUCUUUUGCUCUCCUACUUACUAAAAUUUUCAAUCUCUCUCUCUUUCCUCUGGCACAUUUCCUUCACCCUUCAAACAUGCAACCGUAACCCUGUAGCGGAUGGCAUGUGACUGUCCGCCAGAAUAAUAUUUUAAAAGACUGUUCGCAUGUUAAAACUGCCUGUACAUUGAAAAUUGCAUAUACAUUCGUAUGUUAGUUUGGUAGUUUCCUUCAUAGUUUAUGCGAAUGGAAACUACCGAAUGCAUAGACCACCUUAGAGAAGAAGUGUGUCCCUAGUUAAACCCUUAUUCCCUCUCUAACCGCAGUUGAGAUGUUGCAUUGCUGUAUCUGGGUGGCCGCCAUUCGGUAGACGAACACGCGGCGGCGGCCAUCUUACGCACGAACUCUCAGCGGUGUUUGGUCGUCGAGUGUCUGGAACUCAAAUCGGACACUCGAUUGCGCGAACACCGCUGAGACCUCCAGAACUCACGAACGGAGGGGCUAUUCGACUCCUCGUUCGGUGAGUUCAAUAUACUAAACAAGGGGUUUCGUGCGAACCCGGUAUUAUCUAUGGAUGGCAAGGAUUUCUACCUGUUUUUACCUCCCGAUCAAUCGUUUAUUCCCUAUAACUCCCGAACCCCUGGUCUGAUCUGGGUGAAUUUUGAGUAUGUUGGUCACCCAGACCAGGGCUACCAGGGUAUGCCACUUAAGUCCUGGUACCCCACGGUUUUGGGGUACAUCCAAGAAACAGGGGAAAAGGUACCAGGAUUAAGUGGAUUAAGUGUCACACGUAGGGGAGGGAACCUCUGUAUUAUUGGUUACUGCUAUAAUUACUGUAAAUCCCUCCCUUGUAUGGGAGAAUCCUUUAUAAGGAACUGCUGUGAAUAAAUCUUUAGUUCUGCUCCUGAUGCUGUGUGUCGUCCAGUCAUUGAGAUUGCGAUUGGGAUAUUGUUGGCGUCUUUUUUUGCCUGCUGGGAUUAUUACUCUGUGGGUUUAUUAUACUUGUUCCUGGGCAUUACUGGGAUCCAAAGUGGAGAUGGGCUGUGUAAUACCAGCUCUCCGCUACAAACCCCAAUGCUGAAAAAGCCAAACCUUGACCCCCAACUCCCCAUCCAACUACCUCCCUAUGUCGCUACUACCAUUUGCCUCCAGGAUCCUUGAGAGAGAUGUAUAUGCAAGAUUGACAGACUUCCUUAAAUCCAACUCUCUGCUUGACUCACUUCAGUCUGGAUCCGCACUCUUCACUCUGUCGAAACGGCUGUGACCAAAGUAUUCAACAAUUUAAUCGCUGCUAAAUCUCGCGGUCAUUAUUCUAUCCUAAAUCUCAUGGCUGCUUUUGAAAUUGUUGGUCAUCAACAGCUUCUUCUUAUCAUUCGUAAUCUCACUGUACGGGAUUAUGCUCUCUCCUGGUGCUCUUUCUAUCUCUGCCAGCGCUCUGUGUUUUUCUCUGGCUCUGCUUCUUCUCCCCAACCCCUCUCUGUUGGUGUUCCCCAAGGUUCUGUCCUUGGUCCCAUACUGUUCUUGAUCAUACUGCUUCAUGCAGAUAACACGCAAAUCUACCUGUCUUCUCCUGAUCUCUCUUCGUCCUUCUUGACUUGUCUCUAACUGCCUUUUCUGAGAUUUCCAACUGGAUGGCUGCUCACUUCCUUAAACUCAACCUGUCCAAAACAGAACUUCUGGUCUUUCUUCCACUUCCUCACUUCUUCUGGAAAGCAUAUCAAUGAAACAGCUUUUCAUCCCUGCACCCUGAUUCAUCUCCAGCAACUGUCAAACAUAACCUACUUAGCCCUCAGUAAAUACUUUUCUAGCAACCUACUUCUCUACCCUACAUUUAUCUUUUUGUAUCUUACAAUAUUUGGGGGUCUUACAAUUUUGCACUGCUCAAAAAAAACAAAAAACUAAUGGAAAUUUAAUGUGCUCAAGUCCGGCUUACCCACACAGAUAUCGUAGAAUUUUAGAUUGGCACCAUAACCACUACAGCCAGUUGCAGUUUUUAUAAUGACUUCCCUAUCUCCGUCCCAUUGCUAAAAAAUAAUAGUGGAUGGAAUACAUUGGCCCUCCUGUCUGCAGACACUCUUUGGCAAAAAUAGCUUUUGCUAAAGUUGGGUAAGGUAUUUUGGGUCUAGUUAAUAUCCCAUCCCUUCAUUGUAAGAUACUUGUCCUUAUUUACCAACUAUAAUACACACAAACAAAAACACAAUUUACAAUAGAUCAAAAGUUUAAUGCGUUCCCUUUUACUGUGUGUUAUCCUUGAUUUUUGGAUGUUUGUUUUAACCUUUGCUUUUUCUGUAAAGCGCUGCCGAGUUUGUUGGCGCUAUAUAAAUAGAAAUUUAGCGCAUCAUCUAGGAAGCGGCUCCAAUAUAUACAUUUUAAAUGUCUUUAUGAACACAAUUCUCUGAGUUGUUUGAAGCCUGCAGUUGUGUAAGUGAAAUAAUUAUAGCAUUUGGUCAUUUUAAUGGGAGUUUAACCGUCUUAAUAAACUGUUUUGCAGAGCCCUGACUUUGCAGCUCCCUUUAGCACUUAAAGCUAAAUGGAAUUCACGUUGUUCUGGAAGCCUGCAGUAUCUCCUCCUAACAGCUGUCUGUAGCUUGCUGGAGCAGUAAAUUACUUUGCAGUAGCACUUCAAUUUAACCUUGAUUUUUCUGUUUUGCUUUUGUUUAUUGUUUUUGGUCUUUCAAUCUGGAGUUUAUAAACUGAUAUCCAGUCUAUUACUGAAAUAAAUGCCUAUCAACCCAAAUAUUGAUAUUUUGUGUAAGUUGGGUUUUCUAGUCAUUGCAUGUCUAGUCCCCAAGAGGCAGGGGUUCCCGAUUACAUUUGGCAUAGUGGACCAACAUUGUUGAACCCUAAAUAAUUUCUUUGUGUCGUAGCACAAAUCUUUUAAAGAGCAGAGUGUAAUAUUUUAGUUUUUUGGCAAAUUAUUUUUACAUCUGCUUUAACUAGAAGCAAAAUAAUUUUAUUUUGAAUAGCAUGAUUUCUAAUGAAGUUUCAAAAACAAACAAAACCCAACCCACGUAAAUUGGGGCAAAAGUGUGAUCUACAAAUAUUUUCAGCAGCGCACUUUUUUUUUUUUUUUUUUUUUACCAACACAAUCUGACUCUAAGAAUAAUAAAAACUAUCCUCAGAUACCACAUUGGUUGCUAAUAUAAAGAGGAGCACAAAAAAACGAUAAUAAUUUUCCUAACAUUGGGCACAAUACUGACUGAAGAAUAGCUGAGCCUCAAAGAAUAAAGAUGUUUAAUGCGUGCGACCGUGCUCUAUCAAUGCUCACAACUGAGUGAGUCUGAAAUGGCCAAUGGUGGGAAUAAGAUCUCUGCUGUGUCUGACUUCCAGUACAAUGCGGCAGCCAUGUUGGAUGUGACGAAAUCACGGCAGAAACUAAUUUAUUUUUUUCUUGUGGAACCCCUGGGUUCUGCAGAACACAAACUGUGAAGCUCUGCCAUAGGGUAUUGCCUGUAAAUGUAUUUACCACUCCUCUGUAAUUGGCAUGUAGGUGUGCAAUACUGAACUGUGUAUGUAAUCUUCUUACAGAUGGAUUGUAACACGUUUUUAGUCUUAUCUUGUGAACUUAAAGGAACACUUUGGGCAACAUAAAUAUUUAAUCUCAAAGAAAAUAAAAGUAAUCAUGGUGCCCGGAGGUCCUGGGUGCCUUCUUAAGGUGCCAAGCCAUCUGAACUUUGUAGAAACCAUGUAGAGUAAAGUUUAUAGCUGUUACAAUGCAUAAGGAAGGAGUCAUGAUAGGAGUAUUAGAUUGGGUCCCAUGCAUUAUUUAAAGAAAUAUAGCUUAGAAUAUUUUGAGCAGACUGUUGGCUUGACAGAUAACAAAGCAAUGCCCAAAGUCCUGUUUGCGCAAUAUGAGAGCCAUACAACUUCACUGUCACUAAGUCGCAGGCAGAUAAGGCAUCUGAGUGAGACUCUGAGGGACCAAGGAGUGUUGAGAGCUAGUUAAUAGAGCAGAUAGAAGGCCAGGGAGUCCGUGACUAAUGAAAGUAUUUACAAAAAUUGGGCAGGCCUAGAUAGGCCAAAUGGUUCUUAUCUGCCGUCACAUUCUAUGUCUCUAUGGUAUGGUAAUCCCUGACACAAGGUUUUUGUGUCUUAGACUGUAUGGCCAACAUGAAGCAGGCGUAUAUAUUUACUAACCUGCACAUUGUACUUGCUUGUCCUCUCAAGAAUAAUGCAGUCUGCAUCAUACAAAGGACUGGCUUCAUCACAGCAAAGAUCAAAUGUGUGGCAGCAAAUAAAAUAGCACUGUUCACCCCCUAACAGUUUUGUCUAAUUUAAUGUAUAAGCAGGGGUAAGUAACUUUCGGCACUCCAGAUGUUGUGGACUACAUAUCCCCCAUAAUGCUGCUCUUGCACCCAUAAUGCUGGCAAAGCAUCAUUGGGACUGUAGUCCAAAAGAGCUGGAGUGCCGAAGGUUGCCUAUGCAUGGUAAAGAGGAAAUUGAUAAGAUAUUAUAGAGGAACUGUUAUUUCUGAUAUUUUUGCACUGACCAAUAAAGUUGGUUGUAGACUGGCUUCAUAUACAUGUUAAUCAGUUGGUAUUUUAUGAUAUGUAAAAGUACAUGCAUGAAUGGGAUCAUGGGAAGCAUGUAAAGCAUGCAUGAAAUUAUUGGAAGAUGUUGCUCUACAGCAGGGAUAGGCAACCUGCGGCACUCCAGAUGUUGUGGACUAAAUCCCCCAUAAUGCUCUUACACCCAUAAUGCUGGAAAAGCAUCAUGUUGGGUGUAGUCCAAAACAUCUGGAGUGCCAAAGGUUGCCUAUGCCUGCUCUACAGGUUUCUCCAAACUCUGGAGCUCCAGAUGUUUCUGAACUACAACUCCCAUGAUCUCAUGACUAUCUCCUUUCAUUCAAAGAAGAAUCAUGGGAGUUGUAGUUCAGCAUCUGGAGGCCAGAGUUUUUGGAGAACCCUGCGUUUAACACAUAGUCUGGCACUACAGGAAGAUCUUUCCAUUACUCAAAAGUCCUGCAGGGGAAAGUGUGUUUUUUAAAAAAUUUUUUUUUUUUUUUUUAUACUUAUGUCUGCGCAAACCUCUCCCCAAUUAACACUUUAAUAACGUUUACUGGGGUUAGUGAAAACUGAAUUGUCAACUCAAAGGUAACUUUUGAUCUAUAGAACAGGAGUUGCUUUAAACAACAAUAUCCUUUAGAGCAAAGUUACUUUGUUUUCUUUCUGAGAUUUUUGCAGUUUGCGGUCCCCUCCAACACCCCUCUGUUUAUGUAGUUCCGGUAUCUCUAAUUUCUUAUCGUGUGUUCUACGAAAGAAGUCUAGUAAGGAUAACAUGUAUUUCUAUUUUUCGCAAUGCUUCCAAAGUACGCUACGAAUACAGUCUUUAUUAACAAGUCCAUUGCUUGUAGCUUUUCUAUUAGAGCCUGCCUGGGGAUUUGCAUGCUCCAGUGAUGUUGUAAGCUCUAGAUGUUCCAACGUCCUUGAUCUGUGAAACCAUUAACAAUUUUAUUCAUGAGUCUAUAGGGAUUAAUUUAGUUUUGUGCUAAAGUAGGGAUUGCAGAAAUCUGUCAGAUGGCACACAAUCUAAGCAGAACUAGAUUCUCGUUGUGUACAUCAUUUAUUUUAUAGUAUGUCUUGGUACAGUAAUUCCAGAGCAUUUGAUAUUAAUUGUAUGUACGGCUGAAUACUGGAGAAUGCUAAAUAUGAGAUCAUGUUUGUUCAUGCCCAUAUUCACAUACAUAAGCUAUCUCCUUAACUAGGAACACAAUUUCCAUGCACAGAAAUAAACAUUUGUGCCUAGCAGAAGUGCAUAAAGUUGAUUUACUUUUGGGCAGAUUGACUGAUUUAUUUACUUAAAUGACAACUGUCAUCAAAUUUUUACUUCUUUUUCCAAACGUAUAUUAGUUUCCAUAAAAUGCUAUGUUAAUUAAAGUGUGUGUGUAUGUAUAUAUUAUUUUUUUUAUUUGGCUGAGCAGCCAUGUUUGGUCAGACUCUAUUGUAAUCUGUCCAACUGCUCAUCAACCAAACAUUACUGUUGCUGCGGUGUCACUCGGAGCUCAAAGAGAAAUCACAGCAGUAGGAAAGUUAGGUUGAUGAACAGUUGGUCAGAUAACAGUAGAGUCUGAUCCAACUUGGCUGCUCAGUUAGAUUUAAAAAGUGGUAUUUUCUCCAAAAAACAAACAAAACUCAGACAUAAUUUAAAAACAAACAACCUGAACAUUUGAUGAUAGUUGUCCUUUAACUCCCAAUUGCAAAGGUUUGACUAAAAUAGCCAAACUGUGAUUAAAGUAGCACAGUAGUCACUAUAUAAAUAUCUCUUUGAAUUGGUUAUAGUGCCUGGAGUACCCCGGCAUUAAACCUCCAUUCAAGGCUAAUCCCUUUUAGAACAGUUUAUCACUAAAUAAGGGUUGCUGGCCACACACAGUCCGGCCUCUUCUGGAGGUGUGGCUAAGGCAGAGAUUACACUCUUCCUGGUAAUCAUAGUGUCAAUGAGAGUUCUGAUAGGCUAAAAGCAAUCAGCUGACACUCUCAGCCAAUCACAGCUACCAGCUGCUGCUCAGGCUAAUAUUUCCUCAUUUGCCAAAGCAGCAUAGAGGGGAUACACUGCUGGGGACUCUCGGGUUUAGUAUUAAAACAUUUUAAAACUGUUUAAUGCUGAAUGAAAUUAUGGAAACCGGGUACUCUAGACACUAUUACCAAAGUAGUUAAAUGAAGCAGAUAUUGUGCCUACAUUGUCUCUUUAGCUGAUUUAGAGAAUUUUUCCAUAUCUGCUAAAUUUGCCUACAUUUUGCCAUCUGGGCUUCUGUUCAUUAAAAUAUGCCACUGGCGAGUGAAUGUUUUGCCCUGUCCGAUAGAAAGCCACCUGUGGUGAGUGUUCCAUGUAACCUCCAGAUUUGCUGUGGCAAGUAACUUUUUAAAGCCUAGCUAGUCACAUAGGACUUGAAAUUAGAAGCCCUGCCAUGCGUGUCGGCUUCUAAGCAGUAGUAGUCUAGAUAAAGGACUAAGUAUCAUCGUAUUAAAGGGAAACUGUCACCAUUUACCUGAGCCUUCGCUUCCCCAUCCCAAUCUCAUUACAGAGGUGGGUAUUACACUUCUGUAACACCCGCCACCGGUCCGCUGGCGCUCCUCCCAGUCUCUUUACUGAUUUGCCCUGCUUACGGACACUCCUCCAAGCAGGGCAAAUCUCCUCCUUCAUGACACACGGUGGCUUUAUUUUAACCCCUUAAGGACACAUGACAUGUCUGACAUGUCAUGAUUCCCUUUUAUUCGCUGGCUUCAUUGCCGGUAUCUGAACGAAGUGACAAUGUUACCAUAGCAACCACAGCAUCUGCAUUGUAGUUGCUAUGGGUGGAGACCAGUAGGACCACGUGUGGGAGGUUUUGUCUGCUCUCCUUUGUCAUUCAAUUCCUCGACAUAAUGAAAGAAUAGGUGGGAGAAGACCGGUAGGAUAAUUUUUAAUUUUUUUUUAAUAUAGUGUUUUCUCCCAAUCUAUAUUUGUUAGCAAAACUGCUAGUACAAUGUAUACAUGAAAUGUUGAUGCUCUUAAAAAGUGCGAAAGUAGUUUUGAGCAUAACCGGUGGCCUUUAAAGGGAUACUGUAAGCACCAAAAAAAUUCAUCUUAAUCUUUUGAUCUCAUUUUCUUCUUUCAAUGUAAAAUAUUGCUGUUUCUGAGAAACAGCAGGUUUAUCCAUUUUAUUUUUUUCCUUACGCACACGUCUAGUGAUUUGUUUUACUGGUUGCCACUAAAGCCUGCUUCCUUACUGUAGAUCGCACUUUUGUUUUUUGACACUCUUUUUAUAUUUGAUAUCCUCGCACCCAGAAUGAUGACACCAAAGGUUCCUCUUAGGACUUUGCAGGCAGCUCAUUGUGAGUAUUCCUGCAUUUCGGUAAACUAGCCCCUGGGAGCUGCAUGCAUGUUGUAGAUGUGUGGGGUGAACAUUUUUUGCCAUGGAGGUGGGCACCAUUGAAUGGCAAAACGUCACUUUGCUCGUUGCUUGUGAAUGCACAUUGUCAGCAGUGCUACUUUAUGGGAAACAUUGGAUUCAAUACUUCUCAUUGCAAACCAAAAAACUGUGUGUAUUUAUUGUUCUUUGUUUCUAGUAAAUGUCUAUUAUUGAUUAUUGGUACAUAAAAUGUACGUUCUUUGGAAUGUGAUGUCACACUAUUUUUUAUUAUUCCAUUCACUGGAGACAGUGACGUGAGUUGUCCUGCUAUCUUUUGUUCCUAGUGCCAUUGAUUGCUGUGUAAUUUGUGGAAGCAGAAGAGGAAACUAGUACAAGUUUUCAAGGUAAGUGAUCUUGGCAGGUUAUUUCGAUACAUUUGUGAAUUUAUAUAAUUUGAUACAUUUUCCACCGUAAACCUCUCAGAAUGUAUUUACCUCUUUCCCCAUUUGCCAACUAACUACGUUAGAGGAAUGAACAGCAUUUAUUGGUCCACCUUAUAUAGGACCUGCACAAGCUAAAGGCUAAUUCUCUGAAAGAAAAUGUAGUGGUAAGUACAAAAAUACAUUGAAUGCACACCCUGAUCUGGUGGAUUUUGGAUGUACCUUCCUGCCUCUGAUUAGGGCACUACGUCCUGUACAAAGGGAAUUGCCUGGAAAAAAGAUUAAUCUGAGAUAUGAAUAUAGAAAAUACUCAACGUUCUGUAGUCAUUCAUCUAAAUCCAUUUUCUUCCGGAUUUCCUGUUCAUGCUGUGAUUAGUAAGCCAGCCCCAGAAACAAAUGAUGUGCAGUAUAAAUUUUAACAUGGAAAUUCAACCCCCCAUAUCCCCCCCCAAAAAAAAUAAAAUUGUGCAAACGUUGUUUAGAUUUCAGGAACAUACUCUGGAUAAAUGGUUAAAGGAACACAUUAUCGUUAGGAAUACAUAUAUGUAUUCCAAACGCUUUGGUACCCUAGUCACUAUUUAGUUAACUUACCCUUUACCAUAUGCAGUGCCCGUCUUCUCGGGGAAGUUCUGCCUCUUUGGUUGAGAUCAUCGAGUUUGACAAUCUCAACCAAUUCAAUGCUUUCCAGUAGGAAAGCAUUAGGAGGUUAGUGCACAUACAGGGCAAUAGUGUUCCUUUAAUGGGACAGACUAAAUAAAUAAGGACUGAAUUAACCCCCUUAAGGGGACACAACGGAAAUAUACCGUCAUGAUUCCCUUUUAUUCCAGAAGUUGUGUCCUUAAGGGGUUAAGGACUUGCGAUUGAUCAGUGUUAGUAUUGACAUCUUCUACCACUAUUGAUGCAGAAAGUUUCAUCCGUAGCCAGUCAUGACAUUAAAGGAUUUUAUAAUCCUAAGGAUAUAGAUAUAUGGUUCAGUUGGUUUCAACUACAAACUGUAGAACUGGAGAAAUCAAUACAUUUAAUCAGCACCACCUAUUACAUAGCCUGCAUUAUUUUAUGGGCUAUGGUGUGUACACAAGCUGAAACAGAACCUUCUUUGAUUUUUGAAGAAUUGUUUUGAUGGGAACAGGAAUUUAAAUUGCCACUUCCAGAAAGAUCGACUGCCCUUAAGAAUCUUGAUUUGUGGAGCGUUUUUGUUUUCUUUAGGAGACUGGGAUUUAAAGGGAUCCUAUAGUGCAACGAAAACAAAGCACUAAAUAUUUCUAAGGUUCCCCCCUCCCUUGCGCCUCCUUCGUGCGGUAUUGAAGGGGGUUAAAACCCCUUCAGUGACUUACCUGAAUUUAGCGCCGUUGUCCCUCGGUGCUGGAUCAGGCUCCACUUAUGCCCCUGCCGGCGGGGGAGACCUAUUGUGCAUGAGCUCACUUUAGGAUUUCCCCAUAGGAAAGCAUUAAUCAAUGCUUUCCUAUGGGGGAAAAAAUCUGGCGCUGGAGGUCCUCAUGCAGAACGUGAGGACAUUCAUUGUCCGAUAAUGGAACAAAGGUUCGUUUCGAUUCAAAGCCCUCUAGUGGCUGUAAGGUAAACAGCACCUGUGGGCAGAAUUCGAGCUGCAAUGUAAACAUUGCAGUUCUCUGGAACUACAAUGUUUUACAUUGCAGCACUGUCAGGAUACUGACAGGGAUCCAAUACGCAGAGUGCGGACAGAAGGAGGUACGUAUACCGGACCUUAGAAUGGCCGGACUAACGUAGGGACAAAACAAGAAUAGUCAAAAGGUAAGCCGAGGUCGAGGGAGCCGGAGGACAGGUAAGCGAGAUACAAGCAGAGUCAAAGGAGAGGAGAGGACAACAGGACAAAAGACAAGCAAGGUCAAAACCGAAAACACAAGAGAGAGAACGCGCUGAGUGACUAGCAAGCUAGAACCACGACAGGGCAAUGAGCAGUAGUAAAGGUUUCCUUUAAAUACCCUGUCACCUUAAUUGAGACCACGCCCCCAAAAGGUCCGGAAUAGCGGUUCCCGGCACUUCACGUAAUGCUGACGUCAUGACGUCGACGCUAGCCGUCGCGUCAUAAAAGGGGGAGGAGCUAGCGCGGCCGGCGCGAAAACGGCCGGAAUUUGCCGAAAUGCUAGGGGCAAGGAGCCCCUAAACAGAGAGGAUGUCUUCCCUGGAGUCAGCACCAACAGGUACCCUGACAGUACCCCCCCUUCUAGAAACGCCCACCGGGCGGAUGGGACCGGGCUUAGAAGGAAAACGAACGUGGAAGGCCCGAAGAAGGCGAGGAGCAUGCACGUCUACACAAGGAACCCAAGACCUCUCUUCUGGACCAUAACCUUUCCAGUCUAUGAGGUAUUGCAACUUCCCCCUAGAAAUACGAGAAUCAAGGAUGGACCUAAUGAUAUAUUCUUCCUGACCAUCCACACGGACCGAGGAUGGAGGAGCAGAGCGGGAGGAAAAUUUGUUACAAACAAGAGGUUUCAAUAAAGACACAUGAAAAGAGUUAGGGAUGCGUAGAGUAGGGGGCAGGUCCAGCAAAUAAGAAACCGGGUUGAUCCUCCUCAGCACCCUGUAAGGGCCUAUGUAACGAGGAGCAAACUUCAAAGAGGAGACUUUCAGGCGAAUGUGUCUGGUACUCAACCAGACCCUAUCACCAGGAGAAAAAAUAGGAGCAGGCCGUCUACGUCUAUCAGCAUGCAACUUAAACACUGCGGAACUACGUGUAAGAAUUUGUCGAGUCUGAUCCCACAACUUUCUCAGGUUGGCUAUAUGAAUAUCAACCGACGGUACCCCCUGGGAAGGAGACACCGACGGAAGAACAGUAGGGUUAAAGCCAUAGUUCAAGAAAAAGGGGCUAUUACGAGUGGAACCACAAAAAAGGUUGUUGUGAGCAAACUCCGCCCAAGGAAUCAGACCGACCCAGUCAUCCUGGUGUUCAGAAACAAAACAACGUAGAUAUUGCUCAAUUUUUUGGUUAGUGCGUUCGGCUGCUCCGUUAGAUUGGGGAUGAUAGGCCGAAGAAAAAUUCAGUUUGAUGCCCAACUGGGAACAGAAGGAUCUCCAAAAACGGGAAAUAAACUGGGAACCCCUGUCCGACACAAUCUCAUUGGGAAUACCAUGCAAACGGAAAAUUUCUCUAGCAAAUAUCACGGCCAGUUCAGGAGAGGACGGAAGUUUAGGCAAGGAAAGGAAAUGAGCCAUUUUAGUAAACCUGUCAAGGACCGUGAGGAUAACCGUGUGCCUACUGGAAACCGGCAGAUCAACAAUAAAAUCCAUAGCCAAACAAGCCCAAGGUUUGUUGGGAACGACUAAGGGCUGCAAUAAACCACAAGGGAGAUCCCGUGGUAGUUUAUUCCUGACACAAACAUCGCAAGCUUUGACAAAGUCUUCCACAUCCCUACGUAAACUAGGCCACCAGAAGUCUUUGGAGAUCAGGCAGUAAGUUUUGUGUAUGCCGGGGUGACCAGCGAACUUGCUAUCGUGAAAACAGUGAAUAAUGUCCACUUGGAAUUUGGGAGACACGAACAAGCGGCCCACAGGAGUACGCUCGGGAGCAAGAGAUUGUUCGUUCAUUAUAUCUAAGAGCAAUGGAGAGUGUAUUUUGACAUUGGUGUUGGCGAUAAUAUUGACUUCAGGAAUAAUAGGGAACAAAGUGUCUUCUGAAGAGGCGAUAGGUUCAUGCUGACGAGACAAUGCGUCUGCCUUAGUGUUCUUAGAACCAGGCCUGUAAGUAAGUAUAUAAUUAAAGUGUGUAAGGAACAUAGACCAACGUGCUUGCCUGGCAGAUAAUCUUUUGGCCUCCCCCAUAUAAGAUAAAUUUUUGUGAUCAGUCAAGAUAGUAACUGGGAGAACAGUGCCCUCUAACAGAUGUCUCCAUUCAUUUAAUGCCAUAAUGAUAGCUAAGAGUUCUCUAUCACCAAUGUCAUAUCUUCUUUCAGUGUGUGAUAGUUUCUUGGAAAAAAAACCGCAAGGGUGCAGCGGCUUAUCUAAACUUUGUCUUUGGGACAACACUGCGCCUAUCCCUGUUUCAGACGCAUCAACUUCAAGUAAAAAGGGUAGAGAGGUAUCAGGAUGAACUAAUACAGGUGCUGAGGCAAAAGACUGUUUGAGCGUUUCGAAAGCAGAUAAAGCCUCAGUAGACCAGAUUUUGGUAUCGGCUCCUUGUUUGGUCAUAUUAGUGAUAGGAGCGAUAACAGAGGAGUACCCUUUAAUAAAACGUCUGUAAUAAUUAGAAAAUCCAAGAAAUCUUUGUAUGGCUUUGAGUCCCUUAGGUAAAGGCCAAUCUAAAAUCGAUUUUAGUUUGGUCGGGUCCAUCAUAAACCCCUCUUUGGAAAUUACGUAACCUAAGAAAGUUACCUGAGACUGAUCAAAGCUACAUUUUUCCAAUUUACAAUACAAUCCAUGUUGUAAAAGUUUCUGCAAUACCUUUCUGACUUGUCUAUGAUGUGAGUUAAUGUCUCUAGAAUGUAUUAGUAUAUCAUCCAAAUAUACAAUCACACAUUCAUGUUGGAAUUCUCUAAGAACUUAAUUGAUCAAGUCUUGGAAGACGGCCGGGGCAUUACAAAGCCCAAACGGCAUUACGGUAUACUCAUAAUGCCCGUAACGGGUAUUAAAUGCUGUCAUCCAUUCAUCUCCUUGUUUAAUUCGCACCAAGUUAUACGCUCCUCUCAAGUCAAGUUUGGUAAAAAUACUCGAGCCCUUUAGUCUGUCAAAGAGUUCAGUAAUCAAAGGAAUAGGGUAAGCAUUCCUGAUAGUAAUUUUGUUCAAUCCCUGAUAGUCUAUACAAGGACGUAAGGUACCGUCUUUCUUUUCCACAAAAAAGAAACCCGCCCCCGCCGGAGAAGAAGACUUUCUAAUAAAUCCUUUGUCUAAAUUCUCCUUGAUGUAUUCCUCUAAAACUAAAUUUUCCUUGGUGGAUAAAGGGUACACCGUACCCCUAGGAGGCAUAGUACCAGGGAAAAGUUUAAUAGAACAGUCAUAAGACCGGUGGGGAGGUAAAGUAUCCGCCUUACCCUUGUCAAAUACAGAUUUGAGGUCUAGAUAUUGUAAUGGUAUCUGAACGUCUGUGGAUUGGGAAGAGUUAGUAUGAGAGUUUACGGGGCAAACAGAAGUAACUCUCUGCAGACAUUCUUUCCUACAAUCAAUACCCCAAGAAACGAUUUCUCCACCCUCCCAGUCAAUCUGAGGGUUAUGUCUCUUGAGCCAAGAAUAUCCUAGUACCACUGGGACUGCCGGGGAGGAAAUUAACAGAAGGGAAAUCAACUCCUCGUGGAAGAUACCAACAGUAAGCUUAACGGGUUUGGUCUCAUGGAAUAUUACUGGUUCCGAUAAAGGUCUACCAUCUAUGGCCUCAACGGCCAAGGGUGUAUCUCUCAGUUGGAAUGGGAUACAAUGCUUAUUAGCGAAGGUUUGGUCUAUAAAGCUUUCUGCUGCUCCAGAAUCUAACAAUGCCAUCGUAGAAAUAAACCCAUUUUCCCAAGCUAGAGAGACAGGAAUCAGAAGCCUAUGGUCUUUUUUAUUAUGUAUAGAGGACAGUAACGAAACACCCAAGGCCCGUCCUCUAAGGGAACUUAGGUGCGAGCGUUUCCCGGGCGAUUAGGGCAACUAAGACGUAGGUGACCUCUCCGCCCGCAGUAUAAACAGAGACCCUCCCUUCUUCUGUACUGUCUCUCAGCCUCAGAUAAGCGAGUAUUACCUAUUUGCAUAGGUUCUGGUGGAGUAGGAUUAAAGGAGUCAGGGUUCUGAAAUGAGGGAGCAAGUCUUACAGGAAGUCUAGUAACUCUUUCCCGAGUGUUCUGCCUCUGUCUCAUGCGUUCAUCUAUUCUGGAAAUGAAAGAUACUAAAUCCUCUAAAUUUUCCGGAAGUUCUCUUGUGGCAAUCUCAUCUAGAAUUUCAUCAGACAACCCAUUCAAAAAUACAUCCAUAAAAGCUUGUUCGUUCCAUUUCACUUCUGCUGCCAAUGAUCUAAACUCUAAUGCAUAUUCUACAAGGGUCCUAUUCUGUUGUUUAAGGCGUAACAGGGAUCUGGCUGCAUUAAUCUUCCUUCCUGGGGGGUCAAAAGUCCUUCUAAAUGCCGUGACAAAAGCAGUGUAGUUGUAGACUAGAGGAUUGUCAUUCUCCCAAAGGGGAUUGGCCCAUCUAAGUGCUUUAUCUAUUAGCAGAGUUAUAAUGAAGCCUACUUUAGCCCUGUCAGUAGGGUAAGCCCGGGGUUGAAGUUCAAAAUGUAUGCUUAUCUGGUUUAAAAAACCACGACAAGCAUCGGGUGAACCCCCAUAACGUAACGGUGAAGUGACAUGGGAAGAUGCGCCUACAGUGGCUACUUCCAAACCAGUACUUAGUGGGAGGCUAGCAGUGGAACGUACUUCUUCUGACUGGGUGCUGGAACGUGUUAGCAAAGUUUGUAAUGCUAAAGCCAUUUGGUCCAUUCUAUGGUCCAUGGCCUCAAAUCUGGGGUCAGGAGGACUAGCACCUGCAGGAUCCAUUUGGCCCUGUCGUAAUGUCAGGAUACUGACAGGGAUCCAAUACGCAGAGUGCGGACAGAAGGAGGUACGUAUACCGGACCUUAGAAUGGCCGGACUAACGUAUGGACAAAACAAGAAUAGUCAAAAGGUAAGCCGAGGUCGAGGGAGCCGGAGGACAGGUAAGCGAGAUACAAGCAGAGUCAAAGGAGAGGACAACAGGACAAAAGACAAGCAAGGUCAAAACCGAAAACACUAAGAGAGAGAACGCGCUGAGUGACUAGCAAGCUAGAUCCACGACAGGGCAAUGAGAAGUAGUAAAGGUUUCCUUUAAAUACCCUGUCACCUUAAUUGAGACCACGCCCCCAAAAGGUCCGGAAUAGCGGUUCCCGGCACUUCACGUAAUGCUGACGUCAUGACGUCGACGCUAGGCGGCGCGUCAUAAAAGGGGGAGGAGCUAGCGCGGCCGGCGCGAAAACGGACGGAAUUUGCCGAAAUGCUAGGGGCAAGGAGCCCCUAAACAGAGAGGAUGUCUUCCCUGGAGUCAGCACCAACAGGUACCCUGACAAGCACUAGGUGCAAAAGGGACAUUGCACCCAGACCAUUUCAAUGAGCUGAAGUCGUCUGGGUGCCUACAAUGUCCCUUUAAGUCUGCCUUGUGCACACUUUAGUUCCAUGAAAAUUUGUAUCCCAUUUUAAACAAUGGGAACUCCUAGGCCCCUUAAAUUUUCUGACGAUCUGUACAUUUUGAUAACAUUUAUCUAAAAUAGCUCCCACCGAGAUCCAUUUAAUAUUGAAACUUGCCAUAGUAAAGUAUUGUGCAAUGCUCCAUCAAUUAGUUAAUGGAAAAGAUUGCUGAAACACUGCUUUUCCACAGGACACGUCUGUAUUAUGUACUAUUGUUGAAGGCAGUUUGCUUUAUUUUUCCCACAGGAGACUGUUUUUUUAAUGCAAUUCUUUCCUAAUUUCAACCUCACUAGUUACUUAUACAGAUGCUUAGAAACCAUAUCAAUAUAUAUUUUUUUUUUUAUAAUUCUUAUUUGUCUGCAUAUUGGGUUUACCUGUCAGAGACAAUUUUGAAAAGUCACGUUAGAUUCUACACGGAUAUAUAAAUUAAAGUCAUUAUUUGUAUCUGACUGGCUAUCCUAUUGUGCAUCUGACUGUGCAAAAUAAUGCCCAGUUGAAGUAAUGGAAGUUAGACAUGUCACAGUUUUGUAUCAGGUUUUUAAAAAAAGCCCACCUCGAUCAGCCAUCUUCCGUACCUUACACACAAUAGUAACUGCAGUUAUGGAAAUAACUUUAGCUACGUUAUGCAUAUACCUCCUGUGCAAAUGAAGACUGAUGAGUACUUCUCACGAUAGCACCUUAUGCUUUCUAAGACAUUCUUUGUUAAAUGGACUCUUUAUUCACAAAACUCCUGCUUAAUGUAAUGUUUUUAGUGCGUAGUUGCUGUCUCAUAUGCCAGCAAGAAGUGUUCUGUGAAUUGCGACCAUGUGAGAAGCAUCUCCACAUCCCCGGGCAGAUUGUGGGACACAGAACAAUUUUUUUUUUCCUAGUUUGUUGCAAAAUUGGAAGUGUUUCAGACUGGGUUUUUGCCUUCUUUUGGAUCAACAGCAGAAACAUAUGUGAAGAAGGCUGAACUUGGACACAAGUCUCUUUUCAGAUAUUUAACUGUGCAUGACCUGGAGGCAUUUUGCCAAGACGAAUGGGCAGCUAUACCACCUGCAAGAAUCAGGGGCCUCAUAGACCACUAUUACAAAAGACUGCACGCUGUCAUUGAUGCUAAAGGGGGCAAUACACAGUAUUAAGAACUAAGGGUAUGCAGACUUUUGAACAGGGGUCACUUCAUUUUUUUUAUCUUUGUUGCCAUGUUCUGUUUUAUGAUUGUGCCAUUCUCUUAUAACCUACAGUUGAAUAUGAAUCCCAUAAAAAUAAAAGGUGUUGCCUGCUCACUCAUGUUUUCUUUAAAAAUGGUACAUAUAUUACCAAUUCUCCAAGGGUAUGCAAACUUUUGAGCACAACUGUAUGUAUGUGCUCACACACCGUAUAAAAUACACGUGCAUGUAUUCUUAAAUGAACACUAUAGAGUCAGGAGCACAAAUGUGUAUUCCUGACCCUAUAGUGUUAAAAACCCAUGUAGAGUCCCUAGCACCUCUCCCCCACUUUAAUAUGAAAACAUACCUUGUUUCCAGUGCCGGCGCAGUUCCACUGGUGCUGGCUGCGCCNNNNNNNNNNNNNNNNNNNNNNNNNNNNNNNNNNNNNNNNNNNNNNNNNNNNNNNNNNNNNNNNNNNNNNNNNNNNNNNNNNNNNNNNNNNNNNNNNNNNUAGCAGUGGUAAACAAUUUGAAGUGUUGUGAAACCCUAGUCCAGGUGUAGGCAACCUUGGACACUCCAGAUGUUGUGGACUACAUCUACCUUGAUAAUUUGCCAACAUUAUGGGUGGAAGAGCAAUAUGGGAGAUGUAGCCCACAACAUCUGGAGUGCCCAAAAUUGCAUAUCUCUGACCUUUUCCAUAAGAUAAUGGCUUGUUUUUCGUGUGUCAGUUUGAAUGCUAAUUAAUACAUAUAUAGCCAAAGGUGAUAUGCAAAUGGCAAAAUGUAGACACCUGACCAUCACACCAUGUUGGAGAAAAACCAUUCCAAUACCAUCCGCAUUGACAAUAUUAUAUCUGUGGAAAUGUGCGGCCAUUUAGUCAAGAUCAUUUGUGAGGUCAGGCACUGUUGGGGUUGAAGGUCUGGCUUGCAAUCUGUAUUCCAAUUCAUCGCAAAUGUUUGGUCAAUGGCAAGACACUGCGCAGGCAGUUCCUUCUGGACUGUUUGAAGAGAUAUGAAUUUAAAAAAUAAAUUUUAUUUUUCAUUUCAGGGUUUAGAGUAGAACGAUUUAUCAGUUUAAAUACAUGUAUAAACCAUAUAAUUAUUCCACUGAUUACGUCAUUGGAAACUGAAUGAAUGUUGGUAGGUAGCAUUUGAAAGCUGCAAUUGGUAUCUUCUAUCAGAUGUAAAAUAUUUUGUGAUUCUUUUGAUCUUUUAUUUAAAGCAGCAUAUAAUGUCCCUAUCUAUUAAGUAAUCCUAAGCAGAUGUUCUGCAUAUCGUGUGCCUAUCUAUUAACCAGCCCUUUGCCAGUGGACGGCAUAAGAUGUGCCUAUUAACCAGUGCCAUGAUAUUGGAUAAUAUAUAUCAUAAUUUUAUGGACACGGAUAUUUAAACGGUCUCCGUAUAUUUUGGCAGAUUCUUCGUUUCAGCGCUCCUGCACAUAAUCCUUUCAAGUUACCUUUUUAGGCUGCCAGUCUUAUUGUUUGCAGGUAUCCCGCUGGGAGUCUUGUACAGUAUAUUAUACUAACUGGUCACAUUUAUAGAGGUUGUUUUUUUGUUUUGUUUUUGUUUUUUUUAAUGUUCUUUCCUAUUUAUUGCUAUUGUCUAUUUUCUUUUUUUUUUUUUUUUUUUUCUUUUUUUUUUUCUUUUUUAAAUUAAAGAUAAUUUUUACCCUAAUUUAGAUCUCACUUGCCAUUGCAAUUAUUAACAUUCUCCUUUCCUGGAUUGAAAAAGGAACCGAAGAAUGCAUUUUCAACUUUUUUAUUUUAUUUUUUUAAAUCAGUAGGUUUUAUUUUCUUGCUCUCUGAAGGAUUUGUUCUGUGUAAUGCAAUAGGUAUAAUCAUGCUGUACCCAGACCGCUUAGUUAUUAUUAUUUAAAGUAAUACAGUUUGGGCAGCUUGCCAACAUGCUUAGUACAUUUAUCUCUAUGGUCUGAUAAAGGCUGUAUUUUAUCAGAUAAAUGGUCAUUUCCAUUUAUUUCCUUAGUAUUAAAUGUACUGUGCUUUGGGGUGUUUGUCAUUUUGCAUUUGACUGAGAGAGGAAGGCUAAUGGAACUAAUUGAUAUUUUGUAUCAACCCACCCACACCAGCCAUACAGGAAUACACAUUUAAUUAUGUGUAUUAGUGAUGCUCAACUACCCCCCCCCCCNNNNNNNNNNNNNNNNNNNNNNNNNNNNNNNNNNNNNNNNNNNNNNNNNNNNNNNNNNNNNNNNNNNNNNNNNNNNNNNNNNNNNNNNNNNNNNNNNNNNGCAAAAGGGACAUUGCACCCAGACCAUUUCAAUGAGCUGAAGUCGUCUGGGUGCCUACAAUGUCCCUUUAAGUCUGCCUUGUGCACACUUUAGUUCCAUGAAAAUUUGUAUCCCAUUUUAAACAAUGGGAACUCCUAGGCCCCUUAAAUUUUCUGACGAUCUGUACAUUUUGAUAACAUUUAUCUAAAAUAGCUCCCACCGAGAUCCAUUUAAUAUUGAAACUUGCCAUAGUAAAGUAUUGUGCAAUGCUCCAUCAAUUAGUUAAUGGAAAAGAUUGCUGAAACACUGCUUUUCCACAGGACACGUCUGUAUUAUGUACUAUUGUUGAAGGCAGUUUGCUUUAUUUUUCCCACAGGAGACUGUUUUUUUAAUGCAAUUCUUUCCUAAUUUCAACCUCACUAGUUACUUAUACAGAUGCUUAGAAACCAUAUCAAUAUAUAUUUUUUUUUUUAUAAUUCUUAUUUGUCUGCAUAUUGGGUUUACCUGUCAGAGACAAUUUUGAAAAGUCACGUUAGAUUCUACACGGAUAUAUAAAUUAAAGUCAUUAUUUGUAUCUGACUGGCUAUCCUAUUGUGCAUCUGACUGUGCAAAAUAAUGCCCAGUUGAAGUAAUGGAAGUUAGACAUGUCACAGUUUUGUAUCAGGUUUUUAAAAAAAGCCCACCUCGAUCAGCCAUCUUCCGUACCUUACACACAAUAGUAACUGCAGUUAUGAAAAUAACUUUAGCUACAUUAUGCAUAUACCUCCUGUGCAAAUGAAGACUGAUGAGUACUUCUCACGAUAGCACCUUAUGCUUUCUAAGACAUUCUUUGUUAAAUGGACUCUUUAUUCACAAAACUCCAGCUUAAUGUAAUGUUUUUAGUGCGUAGUUGCUGUCUCAUAUGCCAGCAAGAAGUGUUCUGUGAAUUGCGACCAUGUGAGAAGCAUCUCCACAUCCCCGGGCAGAUUGUGGGACACAGAACAAUUUUUUUUCCUAGUUUGUUGCAAAAUUGGAAGUGUUUCAGACUGGGUUUUUGCCUUCUUGUGGAUCAACAGCAGAAACAUAUGUGAAGAAGGCUGAACUUGGACGCAAGUCUCUUUUCAGAUAUUUAACUGUGCAUGACCUGGAGGCAUUUUGCCAAGACGAAUGGGCAGCUAUACCACCUGCAAGAAUCAGGGGCCUCAUAGACCACUAUUACAAAAGACUGCACGCUGUCAUUGAUGCUAAAGGGGGCAAUACACAGUAUUAAGAACUAAGGGUAUGCAGACUUUUGAACAGGGGUCACUUCAUUUUUUUUAUCUUUGUUGCCAUGUUCUGUUUUAUGAUUGUGCCAUUCUCUUAUAACCUACAGUUGAAUAUGAAUCCCAUAAAAAUAAAAGGUGUUGCCUGCUCACUCAUGUUUUCUUUAAAAAUGGUACAUAUAUUACCAAUUCUCCAAGGGUAUGCAAACUUUUGAGCACAACUGUAUGUAUGUGCUCACACACCGUAUAAAAUACACGUGCAUGUAUUCUUAAAUGAACACUAUAGAGUCAGGAUCACAAAUGUGUAUUCCUGACCCUAUAGUGUUAAAAACCCAUGUAGAGUCCCUAGCACCUCUCCCCCACUUUAAUAUGAAAACAUACCUUGUUUCCAGUGCCGGCGCAGUUCCACUGCCUCCUUGGAUGACACCAGAAUUUAUGAUCUCCUCCAAUAACAAUGCUUUCCCAUAGGAAAGCAUUAGAUUGGUUAAGAUUGUCGGUUCUGAUUAUCUCAGCCAAAGAGGCGGCUGGGGGUGAAGCCAAACGGUGCCUUAGCCAAUAAGCAUCUACUUAUAGAGAUGCAUUGAAUCAAUACAUCUCUGUGGGAAAAGUUCAAUGUAACAGAUUCCCUAUACUCUGAGUAUUUCCGUUCAGAGGUUCUCCCUCUACCUGCAGAGUGAAAGUGUUCAUAGCUCCCACCCAAACAUCAGCCUAGACUUGAUGAAGAUUGAAAAGUAUUGUCUUAAUUGAGAAAAGUACAGUAACCCUGCUCAGAGGCCUCUGUAUCUGGAAGAGAAUUGUGACCUACAUUGCUUAAUUUAGUUAACUCCCAGCACACAACCCCAAAAUACAGUGUAAAAACAUUAAGAACCCCCAGACAUAUGAUAUCCCCAGUAAGCUGGUCUUCCAAUCUUGGAGAAUGCCUGCUAAGUGCAACGCGUGUAGACGCUGAACGGCAUGAAUCACCUCUAAACUGUCUACAGCAAAAAGCCUGCAUGAACGGAACAAAUACAGCCCCCCUCCUACACAGCCCAUGCCACUGGACCACCAGGGAAUGAGAGCCCCCCUCCCUGGCCAGCUAACAAGCAGGGAGGGGGGAUGAAAAAAUAUAAAUAAAAAUUUAAAUAAUAAAAUAAUAUAAAAAAAUUUUUUUUAUAUUAAAAUAAUUAUUAAAAAAAAAUUAUAAAAAUGCCUACCCCCCACCAAGGCUCUGCAUCACAUGCACACACACACACACACACACACACACACACUGCAUUCAUACACACACACACACACUGCAUUCAUGCAUACACACUGUAAAUAUUCAAUUAAUAUAAUUUUUGGGGGAUCUAAUUUUAUUUAGAAAUUUACCAGUAGCUGCUGCAUUUCCCACCCUAGGCUUAUACUUAAGUCAAUAAUUUUUUCGGGGUAAAAUUAGGGGUCUCGACUUAUUCGGGUCGACUUAUACUCGAGUAUAUACUGUGUGUGUGUGUGUGUAUAUGUAUGUGUAUUUGUAUGUAUGUAUAUGUAUAUAUAUAUAUAUGUAUAUAUAUAUAUAUAUAUAUAUAUAUAUAUAUAUAUAUAUAUAUAUAUAUAUAUAUAUAUAUAUAUAUAUAUAUAUAUAUAUAUUUAUUUAUAUUGUCAGGCACUCUACCUUUGAAAAUUUGUUGAGAUGAACCUCGGUGCUGCAUAGCAUGGAUAAAUACGAGAUGUUGAAAAGAGCACUCCAGAGGAUUUGUUUAGACCUCUUGGGUCGAAACGUUGAUCAUUUUGAAUCACAUAUAAAGCUUAUUAAACAAAUCCUCUGGAGUGCUCUUUUCAACAUCGUGUGUGUGUGUGUGUGUAUAUGUGUGUGUGUGUGUGUGUGUAUAUAUAUAUAUCUGUCUCUGUCUCUAUCUCUGUCUCUGUCUUUUUUUUGUCUGAUAUGUGGUUGCUGUGACCACAUGCUGGUUUUAUCAGGACAUUUUCCAUACAUGAACUUCAGGGCUACAUUACACUCACAACUGCUCCCUGUGCUCCAAUUAAAGCCCUGAAGUUUGCAUUUUCUUUUAAUAAAACUUCCUGAUAAAAUCUGCUAUGUGGCCACUCUAGUAUCUAGACUAUUUAUAAAAAAAAAAUUAUUUUUUUUGCAUUGCAUUGCAUUCAGAGUUUUCCUUGUGUAUAUAAUUAAUAAACAAAGUAUAAUAUAAAAUAUUAGAUUUAGAAAAGAAUGAGAAUUCCUGAGAAUGGACAAAAGCUUAGGGAAACUCAGUAGCUUGCCCUUCGGUAAAUGCACGCUCAGGUCUCAAAAUAGUUUUUGCUCACUUGUGCCAUUACGGAGAGAACAUAUCUGAAGCAUAUCAGGCUGGUCCCCCCAGUACGAGCAGUUCAGAACCGAAAUGCCAGCAAGUUCCCUCUGCACAAGAGAUAAAGAUACUAUAAAUAUAUAAUUUUUUUAUUUUUUUUUUUAAAACAUUAUUAAUUUUGUACAAGUAAAUGGUAGUUUGCCCCCUGCUAACUCUCUGAAUAAUGUACAUUUGUUGUAAUCUCUUAGCAGGUGUUCCUUUUUUUUUUUUUCCUAUUAGAAAAUACAGAAAUCUUUUGCAUUUUUAUUUUAUUUUUUUAAUAUCAAGUACGAUCGAGAACUUGGAGAAAUUGUCCUUGCAGUCAUGUUUCACGUUAAUGUGAAGGAUUCUGCCAGUUCUGGAUUUUAAAUCUCUCAAUUUAAAAACUGCUCUGUUGAUAUGUGCUGUUGAACUGAAGCCAAACAGCAACCUUAAUCAAACUGCAUAAUUAACAUCUUCCUCGGUCACUCGUCAGAAGCUGCCGAACCUUGAGAAUUCUGUUUGCAAUACUUUUAUUCCCUUUUAAAGGGACACUGUUCUAAAAGGUUAUGUGAAGGUCGAAAAUCUUAAAUUCUUAAAGUACGAAAGCAUUAUUAUAAAUCCGUUUUAAUCAACAGCCAGCUCUCCAACUAUUAUAGAUCUACACCUACCAUGGUCCCAAAGCAGCCAGUCUGGGUAUACUCAUACUCCACUAAAGCCAUGCAUUUACUCAUUACACCCAUUAUCUGGAGUGGAGAAAGGUGGAAUGCAACAUACCAGAAAAAAACCCCUGAAUUUAGACAUUGAGUGCAUCAUUUAAAGCAACACUCUAAGGUUAAACAUUAAUAUUUAUUUAGUGUGUUUUGCUAUGCAUUUUUUAGUUUCUUGGGAACACCUUUGUAUAAAAAGGGAAAAAAAGAGCACGAGAAAGAGAGGCUGAUUUUCUUUUCUCUCUAGUAAACCAGUGCAUGGGUGGACUCUGUUGGCCAACGAUUCCUCCUCCGGUGCUCAUACAUAAGUGUUGGGGACCUAUGGUGCAUGUGUGGCAAUCCCUGUGCUAUGUCAAUCAGAUGCUUCAUCGUGAUGGCUGCAUCAUGUGAUGCGUGAGCAUGCCAAAUGUGAAGACCUUCAAAAACUGAAGGAAUCGGUGAAGAAGCCCCUCUAGUGAUCUUCUUAAUGCCAGCCGCUAGAGUUUAGGAAAAAUGCACCAAAACCACUACACUAAGAUGACGUUUUAGAGCUUAUAUGCUUAAAUAUUUUAAUUUUUUUUGGCAGACUGCAAGCUGUACUUCAUGGUUAUACUGUUCAGCAACCAAACUAAAUGUAGAUUUCUGUUGAAAACAUAUUUUGUAAUGUGUGUAAACAUUUGAUGUAUUUAUUGAGGUGAAAUGUUUAAUAGGUUGGGUAUCAUAGAAUGUGAUUUGCAUGUUUCUUCAUUUCAUUCAUAAGUAGACAAGUGUAAUUCGUUUUGGUCCGAAUGUGAAUUUGGACGAAUUUCGGGCAAUUCAGACAUUUGGGUACUUCCGAAUGUCCGACUAGGUGAAUUGCCGAAUGGUCGAAGUCCCAAAAUUGCCUAAGAACUAAUAUACUUACCCAGUGGAAGAAUGAAGAAUGUUACACUGUAUACAAUUUUAAAUAAAAAGUAUACAAACAUAGCCAGGAUUCAGCUGUAAGCAUUUGCAACACUUACAACAAUCAAGUAACAUACAUUCAUAUAAAAUGUAAGUUACUUAUCCAGUCAAUGUAAUUACAGGAAUGAAUAAGUAGAUAGCUCCCUAAUUCCCACGGUAUUAGGCAGGGCCAGAUUAAGAACCCAGUGGGCCUGGUGCUGACAAUUAUGACAGGCCUAAUUACAGAAUCAUAUCAACCAAAAACAGUAAAACACUCCCAAGAGUCAUGUAUCUGAUGGAGAUGGUGCGGGAGAGAAAGAAAACAGCAGCUAUAAGAAAACACAUACCCUAGGCUAAUCUCUCUAAUUUAUGUUUUAUUCUUUCAAGUAAAUCCAUAACCCCUAACAGCAGUGUCCAGUCAAGCAGGAAGUCAAUGGGCGGGGUAAAAGGGUGUGCCACUGACACAAAUCACGUAACCUGCCAAAAGGGGCAAACAUGCCAAAAAAGAGGAUAUGUCUGCUCAAAGAAUUAGAAGGCCAGCCUGGUAUGAAUGCAUGUCAGGCUGCCUGCCAAUCAUGCAGCUGGCCAACUAAGCGCAUACUAUGCAGACAGCACCCUGAGCUUGGCAUAAAUGCAUCUAAUGAUGCGCUCGCUCAACGCUUUCUAAGGACUGUCCCCUAGCACUUGCUGGUCCACUUGUCUCCUUACCUUCUUACUAGCAGGCAGAAGCUCCUGGUAUAUGGUCUGGGACAGAGAAAAGCUGUAUGUAGUGAGUGCAGAAGAAAGGGAACAUGCCACAGUGUUAGAGAGACCAAAGUCAGCAUUACCUUAAAGGAUCACUAUAGGGUCAGGAACACAAACAUGAAUUCAUGACCCUAUAGUAUUAACACCACCAUCUAGCCCCCCUGGGUCCCUCAUGCCUCCAUAAAUAUAGCAAAAUCUUACUGCAUUCAAGCCUGAAGCUGUAACUCUGCAUGCUGUUAGACUCAGAAAAACAAGCAGUCUGUUGACAUUAUUAGAAGUGGUGGCCUAAUCCAAUCACAGUGCUUCCCCAUAGGCUUGGCUGAGACUGACAAAGAGGCAGAUCAGGGGCAGAGCCAGCAUGAUUCAAACACAGCCGUGGCCAAUCAGCAUCUCCUCAUAGAGAUGAAUUGAAUCAGUGAAUCUCUAUGAGGAAAGUUCAGUAUCUGCAUGCAGAGGGAGGAGACACUGAAUGUUUGGAUGCAUUUUAGGCAGCCAUGACCCAGGAAGGAUCUCUAACAGCCAUCUGUGGCCAGUGGCCAGUGAAAUUAUCACUAGGCUGUAAUGUAAAGACUGUAUUUUCUCUGAAAAGACAGUGUUUACAGCGAAAAGCCUGACAGUAAUGAUUCUACUCACCAGAACAAAUUUAAUAAGCUGUAGUUGUUCUGGUGACUCUAGUAUCCCUUUAACUAUAUUCAUUGUCAGCCAGUCCACACAAGUUUUGUUCCCUUACAUCCCUCUUAAGUUUCCAUUCUUAAGUAAGAGUAUGUGAAAAGUAGUUAGGGUUGCCACCUUUCUUGGAAAAACAUACCAGCCUUACUAAUUUGCAUAAUUAAAUAUGUAUGGAUGACAUCGCAUGAGUGACAUAAGAGAAAAUGCUCUAAAAUCACCAAAAAACUACUUAGUUUGAUUCUGCUGUAUAGAUGGAUUCCUCCCAGUGCCCCCAUGUGUCGAUUACUCCAGGUCUCAGUGUUCCUAUGUAUCAGUGUCUCAGUGCCCCAUGACUCCCAGUGUCCCCUAGUGUCGUGUCCCCAGGUCUCCCAGUGAUCCUAUGUAUCACAGUGUCCCCAUGUAUCCCAGGGCCCCCAUGUCACUAGGAAGACGGGAAGACCUGGGGACACGGGGAGACCCAGGGACACGAAGACACCAGUGACAUUGGGAGACUAGGGGACUCUGGCUGGGACGCAUGGGGACACUGGGAAAAUAGGGGAGACUUGAAGACAUGGGGACACAGAUACCAUGGACACAGACACUAGAGACACUUACUCAGGGACAUGGGGACAUUGAGACAUGGGGACAAGGAGACACCAGGGCCUCAGACACUAGGGACACAAGCUUGGAGACAUGGGGACAUUGAGACACGUGAGGCACUGGGAGACAUGGAGGCACUGGGAGACAUGGGGACGGUGAGACACUGGCAGACUGGAGGCACUGGGAGACUAGGGGGCACUGAGACACCAGGGACACUGGCUGGGAGACAUGGGGACACUGUGUCCCCAUGUGUCUGUGUCAUAAUGUCUCCCAGUGUCCCUUAGUGUCUCAGUGUAUGUCUCCUUGCAGCCUUUCCCCAUCCCUUACUUCCCUGAGCUGUAGGCUGUCUCUGCAGGGUGGGAGUUGCUGUCUGGACUCUCUGUAGCUGCAUCCCUGCAGAUCAGUGAGUAUAGAUAGGCAGGGAGGGAUAUGCUGGAACUUCCUAUCCCUGCCUGUCUCCACACACAGUAACCCCUACUGGCCAGUGCUGGUAUUGCAGAGUAAUCUCUUGUUUAUACUGAGAAAAAUACCAGCAUUUGUAUUGCCAGUAUCACUGUAAUAUUGGCCAGGCAGCCUCAAAUACUGGCUGUGCCAAUAAAAUAAAAGCCAGGUGGAAUCCCUAAGAGUAGUGUCUGAGAAAAAAAAAAUGUAAAAAAACCACUACAGAGUGCUGUAGUUAUUAUGAUGCUAGGAGUGCCAUGACAACGUCCCAGGGUAAGUAGUCAGACUGUUUAAGGUUUCACAAUUUACCUGGGUUCUGCUGGGUCUAGUCUCCUCCUCUAGGAGAUCAGGACGCUCUCUGUUCUGAAGGAAGCACACCUGAUGCUCUAAGUCCGUUAGCUGGCCCUGCACUACUGGCAGCUGUGAUUAGUAUGCAGCACAUCGCAGGUAAGUUGUCAAACCAUUUGCAAUGUUUAGAUUGCAUACAUAGGAAGAGCGCCAGGUAAUUUCUAUCACCACACCCAUUACAGCGUAAUGUAGUUAUGGUGUUUGUAGUGUUCCUUUAUAAUUAUAAAGCUCUGUAGAAAAUUUGAUAUAUUAUUGUAAUAAUAAUGGAUGCUGAAACUUUGCUUCUAAAGCAGUCUGUGGAAAUAAGAUGCAUUGUUCUUGUUAUAAGUUAUAUUUUAUUUGAUUGAAUGAUUAAAAAGUCUAAAUAUAAUAUAUAUAUAUAUAUAUAUAUAUAUAUAUAUAUAUAUAUAUAUAUAUAUAUAUAUAUAUAUAUAUAUAUAUAUAUAUAUAUAUAUUUUUUUUUUACUUUAAAAAAAUAAAUAAAAUUUUAGUACUGCCCCCACUCACACCUCUAACGUGACAGUGUCCCUCUUUGUCAAUUUGAAAUGUUUGGCGGUGUUCUGAUAUAUUUCCUAUAACAGUGAUGACCAAUUUUGACACUCCUUAUGUCUGUGAAUUGCAUUUCCCAUAAUGCGUAGCCAGUAUUCAGGCUAGAUGGUAACCUGGUAAGACCUGGAGUGCCAUGAUUCUCCAAAUUACAAAAAUCAGAGUACAUUUCUUUACAUGUUAAUGCCACUGCCACAUUGAUUAAACCUUGAGGCUCUGGUAUCCUGAGAGAAGGUUAGCAGUUACUGUGCUAAGACUUUUUGGCUUUAACACCUUCAGCAACUUGGGAUGGGGGGUGGGAGGGAGAGAGGCACUGCAGGGUCCUGCAGUGACAGGAAAACAAAUGUUUUCCUGGCAUUGAAGAGUCCCUUUAACCCUGCAAUGCAAAACAUAGCAUUUUCUCUAAAACUAUGUUUUACAUUGCAGUGCUGCUUGCCUCUAGUGGCUGUCUACUAGACAGCCACUAGAGGCGCUUCCUGCAGUUUCACAAAGUUUGACACCAUGAAACAAGACUCUGUCUUCACGCUUUGCAUGAGAACAUCUAGCGCCAAUCAAAUCCCAUAGCAAAGCAUUUAAUCAAAUCGCUGUGCAUGCGCACUAGGUUCAUAACAUUGGCUGCGGGGGCUGAGGGACAUUAUAGCGUUGGGAAUACAUUUUUGUAUUCAUAACACUAAAAAAAGUGUUUCUGUUAUCUAUUUUGGUCACUGCUUCCUAAGGUUUUUUAAUGAGCUAAAAUGUGCUAUGUUUCUUGUCUGAAUUCUACUUAACUACACCCUUGGGUAUAUUAUUGGAAUGAAAAUAAUGAGCCUGGGGCCUGUGUUUGUUUUAAACCUUUAAAAAAAAAUAAAAAAAAUUAAUAUUUUUUUUUUUUUUUUUCAUGAGCUGGUCAUAUUAUUCCAAUUCUAAGACAAUAAUAAAGUGCCAUUAAUUUCACCCAUAUAGAUGAUAUGGCUUUUGAAAAAAUUUUAAGCCGCAUAUCGCUGCACCGGCAUCAAAUUAGAGAUUUCUACAGAUCUAAAUAAUUGCAGCUGUUUUUCAUAGGUUACUGGGAGAGCAUUUUAAUGCCCUUAAUUAAACAAACAGUAUAAAUUCAUGUUUUUUUUAUUUAUUUUUUUAAUUGGCAAGUAAAUUACUAAUUGGUAUUUUGGUAUUUCAGUUCCUCAGUAUGUGAUAUGCAUAUUUGUAAUUUAAUUAUUUUUUUUGUGUGCAAAAUUUUUCUUUUCUGCUUCUACAUCUGCCAGAGAGCAUGGGCUGAAUCUGAAUGUUCUCAUCUAUGAGUACCUUUUAAAUGUUUUUGAAUCCUUCGGACAGUCCGAAUUUGGGUUGUCUUGCCUUGCCAAUCUUGUACUUUUGUUGUCCCACUUCUAAGGAUAUCAGAGAAAAUUCCUCAGAAAAGUUUUUUUUGGGGCACUGACUUUUUUUUUUUUUGGCUAACAAGGAUGGUCUGUCAACCUGGCGCAUGUGAAUUCCUUUUUGUCCCUCUUUCCCUGCUUUGUGUCACCUGACGCUGAAAACAUACCUUCCAACUGAAACAUUGCGUCUAGAGUAAUGCCGGUGGGUGGGGUAGGAAGGGAUGGACCAGUGACUUAUAUCACGUCUCUGGCAUCGCCCACAGGUCGUUAACCCACCUGAACAAGUGACUCACUGCAGGGUCAUAGUGCUGUUAAUGUAGCCCAAGCAAGUCUAAUGAUGCGCUAGACAUGCAUGGGGGAAGGGUCGGGGGGAGGGAACAGUUCCCUGGUGUCCCUUAAAGCCUAGAACAAUAGUGGGACAGGACCCUAAAAAUGGUACUGUCUUGUCGAAAUCGGAAUGGUUGGGAGGCAUGUAAUCGUCAUUAUCUGCCAUGCACAAUGGUGGGACAAUCAUCUUGGAAACAAAUUGGAUAAGCAUUGGUGAUUACUCGACCUUUACAAUGUUUCGCCACUCUUGCGAACAAGGCGCGAUUCUUUUAAAAUUGUAUUUUAAUAGUUGAGAUGCGUAAUAUGGAUUUUAUUUUAUUUUCUGGGGGCUGAAUAGAUUGUAGAAUUCUGACUGGAAUUGGCUCUAGUAAUUAUGAGAAUUGUCAAACUGGCUGGAAUUCAACAAUUUUGACAGAAUUUUAUCCAUCCAGGUAAAAUGUGGUGUUUAGUAAAUACGCCUGAUUGUCACUUACAUGACCCUUCUGUCUGGAUCAGGUGAUUACAGGAAACAUGGUAUGGCUGCUAUCACUUUACUCCUAGCCAAGUCUAAGUUGUGCAUGUGGUGUGCAUGCACCCUUGUGCCUUCUUGAUUGGCAGCUUAGAGGGGCUGGCUUUUGUUUAAUUUUUUUAUUUUACAAAUCACUGCAGUUUUAAGAAACUCUUAGAGCCAUUUCAGAAUUCACUAUGCACCAUCAACCUUGCAAUAAGAGAGUGGCUCGUUAAGGACAAUUGACUUCAAAAUGGAACAUGCCCCUUCUUUAAGGUUAAACAUAUCAUUGCCUGGAUUUAAAAAAAAAAAAAAAAAGUGUUUAAUUUUUUUUAAAUGGACUCUCCAAGGUUGUGUUAACCUCCCUCUUUUUAUAUGUUAUGUAUUUAAAGAAAAAAAGCUACCGUAAAUACUCGAGUAUAAGCCGACCCGAAUAUAAGCCGAGGCCCCUAAUUUUACCACAAAAAACUGGGAAAACUUAUUGACUCGAGUAUAAGCCUAGGGUGGGAAAUGCAGCAGCUACUGGUAAAUUUCUAAAUAAAAUUAGAUCCCAAUAAAAUUACAUUAAUUGAAUAUUUAUUUACAGUGUGUGUAUAUAAUGAAUGCAGUGUGUGUAAACUGGGUGAGGGGAGGGCAUUUUUAUUUUAAUUGUUUUAAUAAUAUUAUUUUAUUAUAUUAUUUUAAUAUUAUUAUUAUUAUUAUUUUAAUAUUUGCAUUAUUUUUUUUUUAAAUGGUUUUUUGUCCCCCCUCCCUGCUUGUUGCCUGGUCAGGGAGCGGGGACAAAAAAACAUUUAAAAAAAAAAAUAAUUAAAAUAUUAAAAUAAUAUAAUUACAAAAUAUUAUUAAAAUAUGCUCACAGUGUCUGCAGGAAGGUAAGUAACAGCUCACUGUCAGUCCCCCCACUGAACAGCCAUGCCACUGGACCACCAGGGAUUUAAUAUUAUUAAAAUAAUAUAAUAUUACAAUAAUAUUUUAUUAUAUUAUUAUUAUUAUUGUAAUAUUUGCAUUACUUUUUUUGAAAUGUGUUUUUUUUUUUCCUCCCUGGCCAGGCAACAAGCAGGGAGGGGACAAAAAACAUAUAAAAAAAAAAAAAAAAAAAAUGCAAAUAUGAAAACAAUAUUAUUUUAAUAUUAUUUUAAUAAUAUUAAAUCCCUGGUGGUCCAGUGGCAUUGGCUGUUCAGUGGGGGGACUGACAGUGAGCUGUUACUUACCUUCCUGCAGACUUGCACUGUGAGCAGAACGGAGCUGACAGGGGAGCUGCACGGAGGAGAAGGGAGCUGACAGGAGCUGCAGGAAGGUAAGUAACAGCUCGCUGUCAGCCCCCAACAGGACCGCCGGGCUUGUAAUGAGCCCGGCGGUCCUGGUCUGUAUUAUGGCAAUGUAAGUUGCCAUAAUACAGACUGACUCGAGUAUAAGCCGAGUAGGGUUUUUUCAGCACAAAAAAUGUGCUGAAAAACUUGGCUUAUACUAGAGUAUAUAUGGUAAAUUAAAAUAUUAAAAGGAACACAAUAUAGCAUUAGGAAUACACACCUCUAUUCUUAGUGCUAUAGUUUUUAAUCUACCGAUUUAGGUUGUUGUUACCUAUGAGUAUCAUUUAUUUGAAAACAGAGUUUGACUCUGUACUCAACAUGGAAGCAUCUAGUGGAUGUCCAGAAGACCGAUACUAGCAGUGUGUUAACCCUACAAUGGAAACAUUGCGUUUUCUACAAAAUUGCAAUUUUUACAUUGCAGGAUUAAAACUAUAGGGCCACUGGACCCUGACCACUUCAUUGAAAUCAAGUUGCCUGGGUGCCUUUCAGCAUUUCCUUUUAAACCUAAAAAAAUGCUCACAUCUAAACUUAAUCUACAGCUCUUCAAAGGACCAGGAAAAGGGCAAAUUUUCUCAACUGAUCCUGGUCCUCCAUAGUUUGUGUGAGUGCUGAGCAUAUCUCAGACUUUUGCAUAGCACAUGCUUUACAUCAUAUGCAAUUAUGGAGCUUUAAGUAGUAUCAUUUAAAGGGACACUAUAGGCAACAAUACCACUUCCUCCCAUUCAAGUGGUCUGAGUGCAGUGUCCCUUUCGUUUCAGCCCUUUUGCUAUACAUUGUAGGGUUAAGCCUGCCUCUAGUUACUGUCUACUUGACUGCCACUAGAGGCACUUCCUGACCUUUCACAGAGUUUUAACUUCUUGAAUCGACGCUGGAUGUCCUCAUGCUGUGCAUGAGGAUGUCCAGCGUCUUCUAAAUCAGAUUCAAUGCUUUCCUAUGGGGAAGGCCUAAUGUGCGUUAGUUUCCCCCAUUGCCUGCCCUCGGUGAAGGAGGAAACCGACCCAAUGAGAGGGAUCUCAGGUUGAUUUGAAAAGUUAUUAACCCUUUAUUUGCUGCUGAGGUGGGGGAUUGGGGGGGGGUGGGGGGGGGUUAUUAUAGUGUUAGGAAUACAGUUUUGUAUUCCUAACACUAUAGUGUUUAACUGUAAAUCCACUGAGGGAGCAGAAGAAUUUCGACUUGCUAUAAAGUGUCAAUGGGAAGAGCUUUAAGGCUCCGAGAUAGAUAUGUUGAAACAUAUUUAAAAAAUGUCUUGCUUGCUUUUUUUUAAAAUAAUUUUUCUAACAAAAUAAAUGUCUUUGUUUUGUUGAUUGUGAGGUUGUUUUUAGCCAGAUGUUUUAUAUAGCAUUAACCGCCGUUGGGAUUAAAUCCAUUGGAUUAGCUCCAUUGAGAAAACCUUGUCAAUAUGAUGUAAACUCAAGUGGCAGCAACAUAUUAUACCGCUUAAUAAAAUAGCGAGCAUAUUCCACAUUUAGAGUGUAUUACACACUGUGUCAUCCAGCUGCCAUGGUAACGCACUGACAACAGGCAGUGUGACGAGGUGAGUCGAGGACAAUUUGGGUAUUGUAAUAGGAAAAGUAAUUCACAAGAUACUCCGUAAAUGGCCAGGUUCAUGGAAGUGAUUGAUUGCAAAAGCAAGAACUAUACAAUACUGGGGGAAACAGUGGCAUUCUAUCCACUGUAGCUAGAUUGUGAAUACAAUUUCUUUUAAUGGUUACAUAAUCAGAAGAGGGUAUAGGAGGGACAACUCGGGUACUUGAAUUCAUGAAGUCCAGUUAAAUGAUAAAAAACUAAUUGAGAGACAACGAAGACCCUUGAUAGUCUUAACACUUAAUGGACAACUGUCAUCUCAAAACUGUAUCUCCCCGUCUGCCUUUAAUGAAAUUUCCCCCAUGGCUAUCCUUGUCUGGUUUCUGCAUCAAUUAAUUUGUUACUCAUUGGCUAUGAAGAUCAGCUGGCCGCUCUCUGCCAAUGAAUGGCACACUGUUCAUAAAAAAUUGCACAUACUAUGGCUACUGACGCCCCAAUGACGCCGUUGAAUGUGGAGUUACACCAUAGGCCGCUAAAGACUUAAAGGGACACUAUAGUCACCAGUGCAUCUACAUGUAUUCCUGACCCUAUAGUGUUAAUACCACUAUCUAGCCCCCCUGGGCCCCUCAUGCCUCCAUAAAUAUAGUAAAAAUGUUACUGUAUUCAAGCCAGAAGCUGUAAAUCUGCAUGCUGUUAGACUCAGGAAAAACAAGCAGUCUGCUGACAUGUGAUAGCCUGAUCCAAUCACACUGCUUCCCCAUAGGAUUGGCUGAGACUGACAAGGAGGCGGAUCAGGGGCAGAGCCAGCAUGAUUCAAACACAGCCCUGGCCAAUCAGCAUCUCCUCAUAGAGAUGAAUUGAAUCAAUGAAUCUCUAUAAAGAAAGUUCAGUGUCUGCAUGCAGUGGGAGGAGAUACUGAAUCACAGGAUGCUCGUGCACAGCAGAUCUGAGUGCAGAUUUGGUUCAUUCUGAGUGACUGCAACUGGAGGUGUUCCUAGCUUUCAAUGUAAACACUGUAUUUUCUCAUAAACUACAGUGUUUACAUGAGAGAGGCUGCAGGGAGCUAUAGUUCUCACCUGAACAACCUCAUUAAGCUCAAGUUGUUCAGGUGACUAUAGUGUCCCUUUAAACUUGGAGUAGCCCUUUAAAGGGACACUAUGGUCACCAGAACAACUACAGUUUAUUGAAUUUGUUCUGGUGAGUAGAAUCAUUACCUUCAGGCUUUUUGCUGUAAACUCUGUCUUUUCAGAGAAAAUGCAGUGUUUACAUUACAGCCUAGUGAUAACUUCACUGGCCACUCCUCAGAUGGCUGUUAGAGAUCCUUCCUUGGUCAUGGCUGCCUAAAAUGCAUCCAAACAUUCAGUAUCUCCUCCCUCUGCAUGCAGAUAAUGAACUUUCCUCAUAGAGAUUAAUUGAUUCAAUUCAUCUCUAUGAGGAGAUGCUGAUUGGCCAGGGCUGUUUGAAUUGUGCUGGCUCUGCCCCUGAUCUACCUCUUUGUCAGUCUCAGCCAAUCUUAUGGGGAAGCAUUGUAAUUGGAUCAGGCCACCACUUCUGCUGAUGUCAGCAGACAGCUUGUUAUUCUGAGGCAAACAGCAUGCAGAGCUACAGCUUCAGGCUUGAAUACAAGUAAGAUUUUACUAUAUUUAGGGAGGCAUGAGGGGGCCAGGGGGGCUAGAUGGUGGUUUUAACACUGUAGGGUGAAGCAUAGUUUGGAGGUGUUUUCAGUUUGGCUAUUUUGUUUUAAAGGAAUACAGACAUGUAUUCCUGACACUAGAGUGUUAAAAUAACUAUUUUGGUGUCUGCCCCCCAGCCCUGUGCAAUGAAAAGGUGAUUCCCACGCCGAUCUCACCAAGACUGGCCCUGCUUGCCUUAUGAUCUCAGUCAAUCCAAUGUUUUCCCAAUAGCAUUGCACAUGCACAACAAAACCCACUGCUCCAAUCAGCAUCUCAUAGAUAUCCACUGAAUCAAUGCAUCUCUUUAGGGAACAUUUAGCUCUUCCAUGCGGAGAGUGGAGACGCUUAGUGUAGGUCCUGCAAACUGUGCCGCAGUGGACUAGGAAGCACCUCUAGUGGCAGUCUUGAGUGACUGCUACUAGAAGUGUUACUGUGCAGCUAUGUGAACACUGCCUUUUAAAGGGACACUAUAGUCACCAGAACAACUACAGCUUAUUGAAUUUGUUCUGGUGAGUAGAAUCAUUCUCUUCAGGCUUUUUGCUGUAAACACUGUCUUUUCAGAGAAAAUGCAAUGUUUACAUUACAUCCUACUGAUAACUUUACUGGCCACUCCUCAGAUGGCUGCUAGAGGUGCUUCCUGGGUCAUGGCUGCCUAAAAUGCAUCCAAACAUUCAGCGUCUCCUCCCUCUGCUUGCAGACACUGAACUUUCCUCAUAGAGAUUCAUUGAUUCAGUUCAUCUAUAUGAGGAGAUGCUGAUUGGCCAGGACUGUGUUUGAAUUGUGCUGGCUCUGCCCCUGAUCUGCCUCCUUGACAGUCUCAGCCAAUCCUAUGGGGAAACAUUGUGAUUGGAUCAGGCUACCACUUCUGAUGAUGUCAGAUGAAGUUCACAGGCAGAGGCAGCAGCUUCAGACUUGAAUACAAGUACGAUUUUACUAUCUUUAGGGAGGCAAAGGGGGCUAAGUAGUGGUUUUAGCACUAUAGGGUCAGGAAUACAUGUUUGUGUUCCUGACCCUAUAGUUCUCCUUUAAAGUGGCAUUGUCAUGCCGAACUUACCUUUCCCCAACCACUUCCUCUCUUAGAAUCUGUUCUUUUCUUCUUAUCUGAUCUAGUUUUCUUUAAAACAUAAGCUAAAGUAGGGACUAUUUUGUCUUUUGUAUUUUUCCUACGCUUGACCAGCUUUGACCCAGAGGAGGAGCUAAGUCCACUCCAUUUCCUGUGGUCAAAGCAAUUUUCCCACAAUAAUUACCUCUCCUCUAUGUUCUCCUGUUGCUUCAUUCGCCAUUAAAACGCCAGUGAAACUACCAAAUUUCGUCCUAACAGAAUGAGAACAGUUUGUCCAUUCAUGUUAGGAAAAGAACAGAUCCUGAGAGAGGAAGCAAUUGGCGAAAGGUAGGUUCGGCAUGACCGUGCACUUUAACAUUUCACCUUUCUAAUAACUUCAAACUUGACCAGAAAAAUGUAUAACUGGAAUGAUUAUUCUUUUUAAAGUAACAUCAGUUUAAAAAUAGCCCAGUUGGCAUUUUUUCCAGUUCAAAUUAUUUGUUUUAAAAUGUUAUAUUCCUUUUGUCAGUUUUCCCCAAUCCUGCGUUCGCAUCAUCAGGACAAAGUAAUAGAUUUGAAACCAUCACAAAUAAACUGUUUUCACUGAAUAGACAUUUUUAUCCUUAAAAUCUGUGAAUGCCAAACACUGAUCAGUGCUUCAGAGUUUAAAAGCUAUUCUUCUGAAAUGAGUUUGGUCCAAGGCCAGUAAAUCGUUGCAAUUAAUUUGCUGGGCCCUGUUCAUACAAUGAUGCCAUUUUAAAUUAAAUGUAUUUGGAGUUCGGGUCAUGUAGGAAAACAUUUUUUUUUUUUUUUUUUUUCUUAGAGACGUGAUUUUUCCACUUCUUCAUAGCUAGACUUUAUUGCUGCAAUGCAAUAGGUUUAUAAAAGAAAGAAAAAAAGGCAUAAUUAACAUCAAAGGUCUUCAUUUUAACUACAUACAUUCGUUCUUACACACACUUUUGGCAUAAGUGCUUUUUACAUUUGCAUUGUUGCAGAUCUUUCUACGAUAUAUUAGUUCUUGUGCAUUCGCUCUUUUGGCACAAGUGCCUUUUAUAUUUCCAUUGUUAGUCUUUGUGUGCAUUUUCUCCAAUGAUUCUGCAAUAUGCUGGGGCUUAAUACAUAAUUGAUAAGAGCACUAGCCAGGAAAGCUGUUUUGAGUUCAGAAAACGAAGCCCUGCACUUUUAAUACCGCUAUGAAAAUGGCUUUAGAUGAAAUGUUAAGAUUAUCUGAAAUGUCUGAAUCAUACAGACUGUCUUCCAGACCAUUAAACAAUGUUGGACGUCCUCACGCUUUGCAUAAGGCUGUCUCACAUCCAUGCACAUUUGGUCCAACAAUCACCUGGACAUUGCAGGAGGAGGAUACCUAGCCAGUAUAAUCUAUAAAAGGGUUUCUAACCUUUUAAUUGACAGCAUGGGUAAGUGUGUAUCAAGAAAUCUUGUGACAGGGACACUAUAAUGUUGGGUAUAGAGGUUUGUAUUCCUAAUGCUACAGUGUUGUUAUUUUAACUUGGUAACUUUAGACGCAGUUGUAAAUUUUAAAAGCUUAUUUGUACAAUCCAUUUUUUUUUUUUACAUGAUUGAGCAUUCAGCUACUUGUCACACCCGCUGACAUAUAGAUACAAACUGUGAUACACACACUGACAUACAGAUUCACACUGACACACACACGCUGACAUACAGAUACACACUGACCCAUACACACACACGCUGACAUAUAGAUACAUACACGCACACUGACAUAUAGAUACACACUGGCCCAUACACACACGCUGACAUAUAGAUACACACUGACACAUAGAUACACACUGGCCCAUACACACACACACACUGACUUAUAGAUACACACUGGCCCAUACACACACACACACACACUGACUUAUAGAUACACACUGGCCCAUACACACAUACACACACACACACACUGACUCAUAGAUACACACUGGCCCAUACACACACACACACACACACUGACUCAUAGAUACACACUGGCCCAUACACCCACACACACACUGACUCAUAGAUACACACUGGCCCAUACACACACACACACACACUGACAUAUAGAUACACACUGGCCCAUACACACACACUGAUAUAUAGAUACACACACACACACACACACACACACACACUGACAUAUAGAUACACAUGUCAUACUUAUAUAUUUGCAGUCACCCCCCUGUUAGCUUACUUUUGUGUCCAGGAUGGUGGCUUGCUUGGGAUUCUGGCCCUGGCUGAGGCUGAUGUGAGUGAACAUGCAGCAGCAUCUCACUCCAGCCUCUUAUCUUCCUGUCUUUCUAUGGGAAUGUAUUAGAUUGGCUGAUGAUGAUUUCUGAUGAUGUCGGUAAGAAGGCGGAUCAGGGGCGGGACACCUAUAAAUAAGGUAAACACGGUAAGGUUUUUUUUUUUUUUUUUUUUUUAAAGAUGGGGGCAAGCCAUCUAAACAGUUUUAAUGUUGUAGGUUCAGGAAUACAUGUUUGUGUCCCUUUAAGUCCUUCUGUAACCAUAACCGCUAGUUUUAGUAGUGCUGAACGUUUCUCAUUUAAUAAAACCUAAUUCACAGCAUCCUGUUUUGUUUUCUUGACUGGUUUCUUGUAGCAAUAAUUAUUUACAUUUUAGUUUUUUUUGCUCAGCAUUCAGCAGGUUGAUUCCUGUUAUUUCUCUGCUCUUUGGGGGACCUUUUUGUCCUGGAAUUUAACAGCAGGCCUCCUAUCCUCAUGCUUGUGAGUGGCCUCGUUUAAUAGGGAAUUCUCAUUAAAGGACCAGUAUAGGCACCCAGACAACUUCACCUUAACGAAGUGGUCUGGUUGCCAGGUCCCCCUAGUUGUAACCCUGCAGCUGAAAACAUAGCAGUUUCAGAGAAACUGCUAUGUUUACACUGCAGGGUUAAUCCAGCCUCUAGUGGCUAUCACCCUGACAACCACUAGAGGUGCUUUUGCGAUUUACACUGAGUAAAUCGCACCUAUUUGAUGCUGGAAGUCCUCACGGAGUACAGCGUCAAAUGAGAUCCCCAUAGGAAAGCAUUGAGUAAUGCUUUCCUAUGGGCGGGUAUGAAUGCGCGCAUGCCUCUGGCCGCGCUUUGCAUUCGGCUCCACUUGGGAGUUGACGUCGGUGGGGGAGGAGAGGUCACCAGCGCAGAGGGAGCCCGGCACUGGAUUAAGGUAAGUGGCUGACCCUUCGGUGGCUAGGGAGGGGGUAUUCCAAGAGCCUACAGGAUCCCCCCAUGGUCACUGCUCAGCAGUUAAUGCUAGCAAGCCAUCAUGAGAGUUGUAGUUCUACAAUAAUUUGGAAUAUGCCUUUUGUGCCACCUUGACUUUACCUCCGUUAUCAAAGGAUGUUGUCGUUCUCUCGUCUGAUGCUUGUGGAAAGAGACCUUUUAAAAUACAGCAAAGUAAGUUAUGAAUGACCAGGCCAUAUUUACUCGCUUUCUUUUAUAUUCCUCUUCAUGCGUUCUGGGAACCCGCACUUAAACAUUUUCUCUUUGCAUUUUAUGAUUUCAUUUGCUGUAAGUGUAGCUGUAAAAAGGUGCCGUCUGCAGCUAUAAAUGGGUUAAUUGUUUUUGCAGGUAAGAAAAUCACAGAAAAAUAGAAAAUUACAGAGUGUAAUCAAGAGUUUGCAGAAUGCGAAUUGACUAGAUAAACGGUAUUUAAGUGUAAAUUGAAGGCUUUUUAGUGAUAUAAAUGGUGCCAUUUCUGUAGCUGCGUGUGCUGAUUGUUCACAUCGAGUCUUUGUUUACACAGUGUGUACAUGGAGAUGUUAAAACUAGCUGUAUUUACUUGGAAAGAUGUCGAGAUGUAGCAAAUUCCAUCAUUUGCAAGUAGGCAAAAACAUAUCUCUGGUAACUAUUUUGGCGUAAACACAUAUACACAACUGGCACUUAAAGGCUUAAUGAACAUGCCAAGACCACAGUCAUUAUGCUUUGCAUGAUCUCAUCACAAGUGUCUUGUCAAAAAUUAAAAUAGAAAAGACAAAGGAUUUGGGAGCACACCUGAAACAUGCAUUCGCAGGAAUGGUGCUGCCAAAUUCAUACAUACUACUACAUACUAUUAAAGCACAGCGCACACAUAAAAAUACAUCUUUAAACUUUAUAAGGCUACUUAACUUUGCGUAUCUUGGCAAACAAAUAUGGGGAUCCAGUUCCACCAUAUGGCCAUAUUGUGUUAAGCCCACCACUACUUCACAGUACCCCAAUACCAGUGGGUACUACACUAAUUCCAAUGUAGGAGAUAAAUUAAAUAGUGCUAAAGUGUAUUUUUUGCAAGAGCACUGUGUGUGUGUGUGUGUGUGUAUGUGUAUAUGUAUAUGAAGCCUUAUAUAUAGUAAUAAAAAAGAAAAAAGUACAGUGUCAAAUCGAAACAAUUAAAGAGAUGUAUAUGCUCACAAUGCAUAUAUCCUAUAUCUUUGAAAAUUAUAAUUAAAGAAAAAGAACAUGAAAUUGCUAUUUACCUAGGGCUGCCUGAGGUCAUCAGGGAACUAAAUCAGGAUGGCGGGAUAAGAACCCUAAAGUGAUGCUAUAGUGUUAGGAAUCCAACUUUGUAUACCUAACACUAUACCUCUGUAGCGUUACUCACCUUCUCCAGGGGCCGGCCGCGGUCCUCUCUUCAAGCCGCGCGCGGUCAUGCUGCUGCACGAGCCGCGCGCGGCUCAUCCGACGGCUCCACUAGCAAGGCGGGCAGUGACCGCGAGAAGCGGUCACGUGUCCCGCCUGAAUCUAAGAGCGCGCCGCGAGUCUCGGGCGCGCUCUUAAAGAGACAGUGGGAGCCUAAAUUGUCAAAAGGCUCCCAUUGGCCCCUGUCAUGCCACACUCCCCAUACACUUACCUUUUGGGGGUGUGGAUAUGACAGGAGCCAAUCACAUUAGUUUUGAAGCUAUUUAAACUUACCUCUCCCUCUACUCCCUGCCCUAUCGUGGUUUCUGUAUCAGUUCCCUUUAGCGCUUGUUGUGUUCAGUUGUGUUUCUCCGUAUUGACCUUGGCUUUGUUUCUGACUACGUUUUCUCUUUAUCCUUCUGUUCUGGUUGUCGGCUUGUUGUUUACUGUGUACCAGACCCCGGCUUGUCCUAGUUUACGCUGUCUCUCUGUGCCCUUGAUUUCAGAUCGUUCCUGACUCUGUCUCCUCUCAUAUACGUCGAGUCCGGCCAUUCUAAGGUCCGGUAGACGUAUCUCUCCUCUGUGUUGUCUUCUGUUUAGCUGAAUCCUGCGUGUUUGGGUAUAUUCUCGUUACAACCUCCCUCUGACCCCCCCUCUCCUCCCCUCCACUGUAAAUGUUAAAGAAGUGGCUCUGGUGCUGGUUUCUGUACUCCCCAGAAACCAGCCCCGAUCUUCCUCGACACUGGGACAACGUUUGGCCUCCUCUGGCGUCACCCGACGGGGGUAGGGUGGAGGCCAAUUUGCAUGUAACCCCAGCAGCAAUGCUUUUCUAUGGAAAUUUGAUGAAUGCUGGAUGUCCUCAUGUAGAGCGUGAGGACAUCCAGCAUUAGAUAGGCAACCAGAGGUCACUUAGCAAGCAGGAAGUACCUCUAGUGGCUGGCUGAUUGACUGCCACUAGAGGCAGUCUUAACCUUGCAAUAUGAUUAUUGCAGUUUCUCAAAAACUACAAUAAUGAACAUUGUAGGGUUAAGGGGUCAGGAAAAUUGCACCCAGACCACUUUAAUGAGAUUAAGUGGUUUGGGUCCCUAGAGUUUCCCUUAAAUCUGGAUUGUCCUGCUGAAAUCGAGACUGAUGGGAGUGCUGCUCCUUAACUGUUUUUAUUAAAACAACCCUUCUUGUCAUUGCUGUUUCUCAGACUUGCUAUGUUGAACAAUGAAUAGAAUCCAUCAAAAUGUGUUAUUGUCUUUGAUUGAAUACUACUGCUUUGAAAGAAUAAGCAGUAAAAAGAAUAAUAGAGGGGAAAAAAAAUGACAGAAUGUUGUGAUUGAAUAUUUUCCGAAGUGUCUAGCACACCCGUUCAUGGCAGGCUUCGUGACCUAUUAACGGACCGGCAUGCAGUUUUACCCGUACAUGAACUGUCAGACCCUUUUAACAAGGCAUUUUAAAUGUCUAAGGAACACAUGAAAAGGUUGGAAAGCCAAUUUAAAAUACAGAUGCACCUUAUUAGUUUAUAAAUAACAUUUCUAGGUAAUAUUCUUGGAAUUUUCCUCUUCAUUAAUGCUAAGAAAACAAAUAAUAUAUUCUAGUGAGAAAAAGGAUGGGACGUUCAGUAAACUAUUCUCCAAUCUAUUUCUACCUUUUUUUUUUUUAUAUAUAUUUAGAAGUGCAUAGUCGCAUAUGGAGAAAAUACAUUUAAAAAUCAACAUAAAUAAAUGAAAACAUUUUAAUUAACAGUCUCAAAAAGAGCUAGACAGGUUGGAGAUUACGGAAGAACAUGUCUAGAGAAUGCAGUUCCAAGUGUUGUGUCAAUAAUCCGUGUUACGGGCUGUUUAACUAGCAUCCAACAUUAUACAAGCAUACAUUAUAACACAGGCUAUACUCUAUCUGAGUGCAUUCAGCAAUCACCAUGGUGAUGGUGGGGUAAACAAAACAAAACAAAAAAAAACGAAACAAGCUAAGAAGUUGUGCCUUACCCACCAACAGUAAUCCAUUUAACGUUUACAGUUAAUUUUGCUUGACCAAAUACUGGGCUGGUUCCAACCAUAAUCUGUUCCAUGGAAGCCACACUGCGAACUGUGAGAGUAGGACAUUUGACCCAAAAUAACAAUUUUAGGGUCUGACCUGUGAUGGCAACAUAGAGACAUAAACCCACUGUAAACUCUAUGGAGCAGGAACUUCUAUCCAAAUGUAUGCAGAUGCAUCUAUGUAAUAACUCGUACGUGACAUACCACCUGGCCAAUGACUUGUCUGGAGCUGAAAAACAUCCUCGGGAAUAGUAUGGGGGAUGGCUGUGUGGGACAGCUUCAGGUAAGCUACAACCUAAGCUUAGAUGUCCACCAUGAAAGUGACAAAACCGCUUUGAGAGCAGCAGAAAAAUGGAUCCCUUGUUUUAUCAUGUUGUCAGUUUGUGUCUUGACUCAUUUUAGUUAAAAGGUUGAGUUAUUUUUGUAAUAGGACUUGAAGUCCAUUUUAAAAAAAAAUAUAAAUUCCUCAAUAAAAUGUUGUCAAAUGUGUUUACGAUGGAGAACUCUGUAUUGAAGCCUUCGGAAAGCUUGUUCUUAUUUGACUGGCAGAAUUUGUGUUCUGAAACUUGAAAAAAAGACAAAAGACAUCAAUAGCAAGGAGUACUAAUAGUAAAUCAACCAUAAUUAACAGCAAGAUCUUCCUCUGACCCUUCAUACAUUAUGUAUUGUAUUCCCAGUAAUGUCAAUCAUUAUUCAUGAAUCCCUCAAUUAAGAAUAGCCGCACUUUGUAAGCUCUGGGUUUGUCUUCUCCUAAUAUGCCCUCCAGAGUAAGAUUGUUUUUGUGGUACACAUCUUAUUAAAUAUCUAGGUCUAGAGAGACCUAAUUAAUCCUAAUUUAAAUCCUGCUUUGCACUAGGGGUCUCGGGUCUACAGAUGUUUUUGGUAAGUUUGGGUAUAACGAAAACAUGAAUAGAAAUGCCAUCAUUCAGGAACUUAAAGCAUUGUAAAGUGUUCUAUCAAGCAAACCUGUUUAUAAGGUUUCAUUAAUAAUAGAUUAAAGGGACCCCUAGUUGAAUGCAUUCUAUACAUUUUAAACUAAAAUAGAAAAGAAUACUUUAACGUUCCUGCUACGGCUGCAUUUUUAAGCUGCUCUCAGUUUGACGGGCUGCAUUCACAGUGUGAGAAUAAAGACGUGCGCAGUGUUUGUGGCCGCUGAAUGCAUCAUGUACAUAUAAGAAAAUCAGUCUCUACAGGUAAUAGAGAAGGAGUCUCGAACGGUGUACACAUGCUUCAGGAAUAUUGAUAUGGUCUGAUGGUUAACAACUCGGGGUUUUUCACUAAAAUGAGAAUUCAAAAUUAAUUUCAAAUGUAAGCUCUGUUCAGCUACUCCGGCCUUAAAUUUGAAAUUCACUUUGAAUUCUCACUUUAGUAAGUAACCCUGAGCUGCAACUCUGUUCAAGAAAAUUGCAGGAACACUCCGUGCACUGUAACACUUGCAAGCUAUAGCCAAACUCCAUUUAUGUUUAGGCCUGCUAUCAGGCAGGCAAACCAAGCAACUGCUCGGGGCCCCGCGCUUCCUAUAAGGCUGCAGCCGCCUCAGCGCUCUAUAGAGAGCCUCAGGCGGCUGCAGCACUCCUCUCUCGUCACCUCCCCUUCCCUGUAGCGUGACCAAGCUCCUCUUCCUCCUGGCUGUCAGUCUGGCCGGGUACUGCAUGGUACAGGAGAUUGUUUCCUGUUCCCGGCCGGACUGACAGGAAGUGCACACUGGGGGAAGGGGAGGUGAGAACUGAGAAGAACAUGGGGGGGGGUGGGGGUAAAAAGAACCUUGGGGAGUAAAAAAAAAAAACAUAGAGAGGGGAGGGGGGAGUAAGAAGGACACAGGUAGGAUGGGAGGGGAGUAAGAAGAACAUAGGGGGGAGGAGUAAGAAGAACAUAGGGAUGGGGAAGGAGUAAGAGUUUGUGAGUUUAAGGAGUUUGUGAGAACUGAAAAAUGUUAAUGUGAGUGUGUGUGUUUUAAGUAUGUUGGAUUUAGUUAUUGUGCACUUUUUUAAUGUAUAUUUGAUUUUAUGGUACAGUGGUGUUUUUUCCAAAUGUUCAAUUGUUAAAAAUGUUCAAAUUUUAUGCACAGUAUAUGCAACAGCAGUAUUUGCACUGUAAACCUUAUUUAUAUAAAGUGUGGGUGAACUUAAACUGUAUGGCUAUGCUGUGGUUCCUGUAGGCUUUGCGUGUGUGAGGGGGGGGGGGGCCUCCAUGUCCAUUUUGCUUGGGGCCCCCAAAUUCCUUCAAACGGCCCUGGUUAUAGGCAUCAAAUCAAAUUUAGCUUAAUGAAGUGAUUUGGCUCCUAAGUGUCAGAGAAUUGAGCAGUGAGACUGCAGGGGCAUGAUCUAUACACCAAAACUGCUCCAUGAAGCAAAAGUUGCUUUGGUGUCUAUAAUGUAAUUUUUAAGUUUAUUAAUGUGACAUGUACUUGCUAAAUAUACAUACUAUGAACUUAUGUAAUUUGAUCAUUUUUAUAAAUAGAUGAGAAUCCCAACUCUAAUGCUGACACUUAUUAAACACACAUUGUAAGAACUCCAUUCAUCUAUUACAUAAUUCACUUCUUGACUAAAAAGUGGUCUCCUACGUGUCCAAGUCUGACCCUUAAAGGGACAUUCUCAGCACUAAAACAACUUUAGCUUAAUGAAGUGGUUUAGGUAUAUAGAGCAUGCCCCUUCAGUCUCACUGCUCAAUUCUCUCCCAUUUAGGAGUUAAAUUACUUUGUUUAUGCAGCUCUAACCACACCUCCCCUGGUUUUAGGCACAUAGAUUUAGUUCUUCUUUUAUAAAAGUUGAAUAAAAAAUGUACUAACUGACCUUUACUUUUUGUAUAUAUGGUGGCCAUUCAUCAUCAUUACCGUUCAAAUGAUGUAUUUAAUUUCUUCACUCAUGAAUGCUGGGAGCUAACAAGCUAAGGUGCUUAAAUUCCAGGUUCUGAUUGUAGGCAUCCCAUUAUCUCAGCAACUUGGUCCUAACCCGAGUCCCUUUCAUAAGAGAGAAUGCAGUAGAAGUUAUUUCUUAACCCAAAAAUCUGAAAACAUACGAGGAGAUAUAUAACCAUGUGUGUAGGCAUUGACGGGAUAUGCAUCACUUUAAUUCAACAAUCUCAUCUAGUAGCUUUAGCUUUGAAUGUGUCACAGUGCCGUGGGAUUCUGUUCGCAUGGCCGCACAGAAACACAGCGGUCACGCCGACAGAAAUAAUAAAUACUUACCUUACCGGCGGCAGACCACUACCCGACCUCCUUCCGUCCUGGUCCCCAGCGUGUGCGGCGUUCCUAGAGACGCCGUCCACUGAGGUUCCUGUUUUAAUGGGGAUAUAGCCUUUGCCCACGUUAAAGAUGGCGCGUGCGUGUGAUGUCACAUCAUAGACGUGCAUGCACGUUUUGGGGUCAGAGGCCACAUACAGCAAAUUGCAGCUUUAGGCUGUUUAUUUAAACCAAGAUUGCCUUUUGAUCAGUGCCCUGUUGUGGUUUUCCUUUGCUGGUUAUCCGAGAGUGUGUUCCUGAUCGUAUUAUUCUGGUUUUUGACUUUGGCUUCGUUUUCACUUCCCUAAUUUCUGGUAACCAAUAGGUGUCCUCAGGGCCGCCAUCAGGGCAUGACAACCGCAACGGUUGUCAUGGGCCCGGCGGUCCUGGGGGGCCCGGACUGCUCAGGUCGUCCGGGCCCCACAUUCAGUGGGUACAUACCGGGUCGCAGGGGGUCCUGCGACCCGGUAUGUACCCACAGGGCCAACCUCUUCUCCUGGGGGGCCCAGCAGCCGGCCACCUGAGGGCCCCCCCGAGGCUGGCCCUGCUGACACCCGGCGGCCGGCGCGCGAGGGAGCACUCUCUGAGUGCUUCUUCUUCAGCUCCCUCGCGCGGUGUACUGAUGCGGAGCCGGAAGAUGACGUCAUCUUCCGGCUCCGGCAUCAGUACGCGGCGCGCGAGGGAGCUGAAGAGGAAGCACUCAGAGAGUGCUCCCUCGCGCGCCGGCCCGCCCGCCGCCGGGUGUCAGGUGGGGGGGAGAAAUGAAAUUCGCGGGAGGGGGGGAAGGAAUGGGAGGGGAUGAGGAGAAAGAAACGAGUAGGAAAGAAUUAAAUGGGAAGGGGAUAAGGAAUGAAAUGGGAAGGGGGAUAAGGAAUGAAAAUGGGAAGAGGAUAAGGAAUGAAAUGGGUGGGAGGGACAAGGAAUGAAAUGGGUGGGGGAGAAGGAAUGAAAUGGGUGGGGGAGAAGGAAUGAAAUGGGAGGGGGAGAAAAGAAUGAAAUUUGAGGAGAGGGGGAGGAAGGAAGGAAAUGGGGGGGGAAAGAAAUGAAAUUUGAGGGAGGGGUGGAGGAAUGAAAUUUGAGGGGGGAGAGGAAUGGAAUUUGAGGGAGGAGAGGAAGGAAAUUUGAGGCAGGGAGAGAGGAAGGAAAUUUGAGGCAGGGAGAGAGGAAGGAAAUUUGAGGGAGGGAGAGAGGAAGGAAAUUUGAGGUGGGGAGAGGAAUGAAAUUUGAGGGAGGGAGGGGGAGAGGAAAAGGAGAGAAGUGGAGGGGCAAGGAGAGAAAAGAGAAUUUGAGAGAGGGGGCCAGGGGGCAAGGGAAGAGAGGAAGUGGAGGGAGAGGAAGAAGUGGAGAGGGGGAGGGAGGAGAAGAAGGAAGUGGAGAGAGAGAGAGGGAGGGAGGGAGAAGAAGGAAGUGGAGGAGAGGGGGAGAAAAGAGGUGUGGUGGGGAGGGAGAUUGACAUCCAUCACACACAAUGCACACCUUGCACACAGAAAAACACACAAUGCAUUACACACAGACACACGUACACAAGCAAUGCAUCCCUUACACACAGCAACACACAAUGCACUCCUUACACACACUCAAUGCAUCCCUUACAGACGCACACACUGCAUCCCAUACAUACACAAACUCAUCUUGCAGCCCUUACACAUACAAACACAGAUUCACACAAUGCAUUCCUUACACACAUCAGGACAUCCCUCCCCCACACACUCCACUCCCUGUGAACAAACUCAUUGGUGGAACAUGAAGGUGGACCCAGACCUUGAGCUGUGUAAAGGGCCCUCAAAAAAAUGGAGCUGCUUCCCGUUCUCCCAGAACACUGAUUUUUGUGACCACAGUUACAAACCGCCUCCAGAGAGCCUGUUCUACACCAGACCAGUGGAGCCAGACGGCAGCUAGAGCCAUCAUCCUCCUCAUCUGGUUGUAAGUAGGCAAUCUAGUAUAUUAUUCGUGGCACUAAUCUCUAAUUUACCUCACAUUAAAGGGACACUAUAGUCCCAAGAACCACUGCAGCUUAAUGUAGUGGUUCUGGUGUCUAUAGCCUGUCCCUGCAGGCCUUUUAAUGUAAACACGGCGGCACUGCAGCACUGGUGUUAGUUAACAUAGCAGAUCAUAUGGGUGGGGCAUUGUGAUGUCACAUGGGGGGGCGGCAAACUUUACUUUUGCCUAGGGCGGCAAAAAUCCUUGCACCGGCCCUGUAGACACUGCAUCCCUGUGGGCGGAUUCGGGGGGGGGCAGCACUUUGGGCGGACUCGGGUGCAGGCACCGGGGGCCCAGACCUUGAGCUGUGUCAGGGGCCCCAACAUUUCUGAUGGCAGCCCUGGGUGUCCUAUCCCUAGGAAUGCAGGAGAAGUGCUUUAGGCUUGGCUGUCAGAUUUACAUGUGCAGUUGGAAGAUCUCUUCACCUUGCAACAUUUUGAAGGGGGGAGAAGAGAGAGAGUCUGAUCUUCUCCCUCCUGCUGCUGCACAAUAAUGCCCUGUUUCUGCCAUUAGUGAACUGGUCUGAAACUGAAAUGGGUGGGUUAGAGAGAAGAGGAAUACCGCACAAACUCCUCUAGCUGAGAGGCAUGUCCCACAAUGCAAUCUGACCAAGUUUAUAGUAUGUUUUAUAAAUAUUUAUUAUAUACUUUCAAAGUGUUUUUGUAUUUAUUUAUUUUUAUUUAUUUUGAUUUGUAUAUUUGUUUAAAAUUAUUUGCUUGCUGGUAUGAAAAAAGUAAUUGAGAAUUGAGUUGACAUAAUCAAAAGAACCUGUCUUUUAAACUGUGUAUGUAAUUGAUUUAAAGAGGCAAAAAUAAUCACUUUGUGAUUAUCUUAAAACAAUGCAAGGCCAUUAAAAAGUUGGCUACAAACGGGAAUAACUUUAAUCAUCCUUUUGGUGCAAAACAUGCAAACUCUUUCAACCCCAUGAUUCCAUCAUUCUCUAUCAAUUUGUUGCACAUCCUACAUGUCAUUGUAAUACAUAUUUUUUUUGUGUGUUUUGGAGUACGAGUCUUUUGUAAAUAGAAUGUCUGUCAAUUAAAGCAGCCCUACGUGUGUGCCAUAACAAAGACUGUUCAGUAUGUAAUGACAUAAUGACACUCUUACAUCUCAUAAAUUCAUACAAGAAUAUCAUUGAAUGGUCAUUUGUGAUUGAGGGGUUCUUCAAGAUUAGAAUUUAGCGUAUUUUAGAUUCUCGAAGCUGUAGCUACUAACUUUACUACUGCUAGUGUUAAGCCAUUUUAUAAGUUUAUUGUCCAGCAAUAUCCACUGUACAUGUUUUAGGAAGCCACUUUUACCCUUAACAUAACUAUGAAUUCCUGCAUUUAUUCACAGAUCACCAGUCCUCCAUUGUACAGAAGACCAAACGUUGGGCCUCCUGAAACUUGUAUUUUAGAACGUGGAACUCUUCUUGGUUGCUUGUACUUGAAGACGACAUAAUGCGGCAGCUGAAAGGGAAGCCCAAGAAAGAGACAUCUAGAGAUAAAAAGGAGAGAAAACAGGCUAUGCAGGAGGCUCGGCAGCAGAUAACUACAGUAGUGCUUCCAACAUUGGCCGUUGUGGUGGUGUUAAUUGUUGUGUUUGUAUAUGUAGCAACACGUCCGAACACGAUUGAAUAAUGUGUCCUCACCUUUUACGGGUGCACAAGCCUUGUGCAAAUGGUGCCAAAAACAACCUUUUUAUUCUAAUUUUGACAUUGACAGUUUGUAAGCCGGACCCUUAAACCAUCUAUGUCUGUUCUUGUUCUUGAAUGUAAAAAUCAGAAAACAAGGACAUUGUGUAUUAACAAAUGUGCCAUAAAUUUUAAAUUUUAUGUAUUAAAAAAAAAAAAUACAGUUGUGCCUUUUACACUUUCAGAAAAUCAUUUUUAAAUAAAAAAGCUUAAUCGCAAAAAUGUUAAAAAAAAAAAAAAAAGAGAGAGAGAAACCCAGAUUUUAGCUAAUUAUAUACCUGUAUAAAUCUGUGCCCUGUUUCAGAUUAAUAUUCUUUCUCACAGUUGCCAAAGGACUAUGCUUUGUGGUAAAACCAGUUUCAAUAUAUUGUAUCCAACUUCCAUGAUAUUUAUUUUUUGAAUAAAG
rnacentral:lncRNA from 1 species